GGGUGUUAUCUAUGAUAGGAAUCACUUGAUGGGCAAAGAAGUCGUAGGCAUCAUUCAUGGCUUUCAAUUACACUAAAGUUUCAAUUAAUUUAGACCCCAAUUGGAUUGGAUCUCCAUAAUUGAAAUCAUGUCCUUUGGGCUCUUGUUGCCAUUGACUCCUCCUUAUUUCGAUGCUCUUUACGCAUUUUAUUUCUGAAUAAACUAGUGAUUUCGUGUUCAAAUUCUCAUGAUAUAUUGAUAGUGUGCGUGAUAAUAUAACUCGUGAGAUGAUCGUAUAAGAAAACAAUACCUUAAAAUAUAAAUAAAUAAAUAAAUAAACAAUGACUAAUGUAUAACUUUAUGUGCCAGCAUGCAUUUAGCUGAGCUGUCACAACUUCGAUUUGCCCAUAUCAUAGUACUAUUUUUGUAUUAAAUGUUUUCUCUAAUCAUCGACAUUGAAGGUGGUGAAGAAUAUGAUAUAUUUUUUUUUUUUUUUGCACAAUUUAUAACUCCUCCUAGAAUUCGUAGAGAAAACAUUUUGAAAUGAAUAGGUGGGCGGUCUUCCUGCAAAAAUUAUACACACACAGAGCAAGUCCAAGCCAUUCCACUCGAGAAGAAGAGAGAUUCCCGGAGAACCAUGCGUGGGGUUAAUAAUUAAAUCCUCUCAUUUUUAAUUAAUCAAUUAUUUUUUAUAUCUUAAUCACGAUUUUUCACCAAUAAACAAUCAACUUUACGUGCAGGCCAACUCAGCUCACCAUUUAAUUAUUCCAUUAAAAAAAAUUAAUUAACUGAUUAAGACUUAAGUUUCUGAGCGAUAUUUCAAUUUAAAUUUUUUUUCCAAAACGCUUUUUGCUGUUUUUAUUAUAUAAUAUCGAAAUCGAGUAGAGACAAGCUUUAACCAACGGUUGAGAUAUUCGCUUCUCAAGCACUAAAUCUGGGCCGUUGAUUUUAAAUCAACAUAAAAAGGGACAGGUCUAUCGAGUCCAUGCUGAGGCAGUGGAUCCCAAUAAUACCAUGUCCUUUUCAAACUGGCAAUAGUACCCCUCAUUUGUGUGGAACGAAGGUAGCUGGGUUGGGUGUGAUCUAAAGAGGGCAAGUUCGUACUCUCAAUUUUAUAAAUUUUUGUGAUGGCCCCAUGUAAAAAUGUACGUACCCGGCCCUCGGUGAAACUGUGCUUUUUUACCGUUUAUGGUCCCAAAAUUUAAUUACCUGCAUGAGCUUUCAUGGGUCCAUGUGUAAAUUACCAUCUCACCGUACACUGUAAAAAAGCCACAUCGUAAUCGUAUGGUCUGAUUAAGAUGCAACGUGCAGUUGUUUUUAGUACAUUUGAACUAUUUCUCUGCCCAUCAUGACCUUUCAAUUGGAUAAUAAGUGAGGCUAUAAUUACCAAUAUUAUUAUAUCAUUCUUCAAUUUCACUUUUGUAGCAGUUUAUCCAAUUUUUACUUUUGCUCUUUUUGCAUUUCAUUUUGACGAUUUUGCAAUCUGAGGAUGCAUUUAUUUUCGAUCAAAUUGUUUGGUUACCAUAUCGCUAGUAAAAUAAGAAACAAGUCCACCACAUAAAUAAUAUUUACGUGUAAGAUAAAUUAUGUAAAUAAUAUGUGUAUUAUUCGUGAAAAAAAUACAUAUGUAUAUAUAUAUAUGCAGUGACGAAGCUAAAUUUUUUCAAAUGUUGUCAAUUAUUUCAUAAUAGACGUUAAAUCAUGAGGAACUAUAUGGAAGGGUAAGGGUCAUAACAACUUCAUGUCUACGUACAUUAAUAUAUUUGGGAUAAAAACGCUUAAUUUAUGUAUAUAUAUAUAUAUGUGAAAUUAUUAAUUAUGCUAGUUACUAACCGUCUAUUAUUAUUAUUCAGCUAAAAAAGACAGGUUUGUUUGAAAGUGAUUAUGAAUAACCUAAUAAUCAUUUAUAUAGAAAAUCAUUAAGCGAUUUUAAGUAAUUUUAUAAAAAAUCUCUUAUAAUUAUUUAAAAUAAUUAUAUAGAGAAACACGUGAAAAUACUUCUCUGCAUGAAUGAUUUUGGACCUCACAUAAGCACUUUCAAACUAUCCAGUGUACUUAUCCUCACAAUUUUGGAAUCUAGAUUCAAAUUUCUGCCUACCCUAUGUGAUCUUUCUUAUUGAUAGGCGAACAUUACCGCACUGGAUCAUUGUAAAUUGGUAACUCUAGCUUUCUUCUUGUCAAAAAACAAAAUAUACACUGAUACGUGGUGUUGUUAGAAUUAAACAGUCACACAUGAUUGGACGGCCAUGAUGUCAUGAUAACCAGGGGACUUCACAUCAAAUCAUUCCUUAUUAUUUUAACCUUUUAUUAACUCCGCUACCCCAUUAAACGUGGUCCCCACAAUAUUACUCUCCCACAGAUCCAGCCGUGCAAUGCGAAUCAUGAGAUUCCCCUUACACUACCCAUUCCGGUACACAUGACAACACUUUACCUCAACCCAUUCCUUCUCGUCCUCCUCAAUUUCUCCCGAUAAUACCGCGACACAACGAGAUGCUCCAAACUCUCGUCGUUUUGAUAUACACCCGGCUCCACCCCCUUACGUACACCCGUUUUCUGCGGCUGCCCUUGGUCGCCCAGCGGAUAAGACCACCCCACUGCCACCGCGCAAUCCAACGGCUCUCACCUUCCACUUGACACGUGUCGCCAUCGUAGGGUGAAUCAGCAUCAGUCGCACAGAAGCCCACCAUGCGAUUUAACCCUGGUUAAACUCUAACCUCACCCAGCGCAACAUAAAAACCUUAUCCUCUUUCUCUUUCUCUUUCUCACUUCUCUCUCUCUAUCUCUUCUGCAAGUCUGCAACGAAUAAGCUCGUUAAUGGAGUCUCAGAUCUAAUCUAAACGACACACAAACUCAGUAUAUCUAUCUAUUUCGUCUCUCUUUAUCUCUUUCGCUAUUUUUAUAGCUGCUUCAAAUCCGAAGCACUCCCAGAACGACGUCAUUUUAGUAAUUUUCCAGUUUGAGCUGUGGGAAUGCUGAAAAUGGCGAACUCGUUCCCAGAGGAGGUGCUAGAACACGUGUUCUCGUUCAUACAGUCGGACUCGGACCGGAACUCGAUCUCGAUGGUGUGCAAGUCGUGGUACGAGAUCGAGCGAUGGUGCAGGAGGAGAAUAUUCAUCGGGAACUGCUACGCCGUGAGCCCUAGGAUGAUGAUCAGACGGUUCCCAGACAUUAGAUCCAUCGAGCUUAAAGGGAAGCCUCACUUCGCCGACUUUAAUCUGGUCCCUGAAGGCUGGGGUGGCUAUGUCCACCCCUGGAUCGCCGCCAUGGCUGAUGCCUACCCUUGGCUUGAGGAGAUCAAGCUCAAGAGGAUGGUUGUCACCGACGAGACCCUGGAGCUGAUUGCCAAGUCUUUCAAGAAUUUCAAGCUCCUUGUGCUUUCGUCUUGCGAGGGGUUCAGUACUGAUGGCCUUGCCGCCAUUGCUGCCAAUUGCAGGUUUCUCUCUCUCUUUCUGUGCAUUUGCUUUGCACUGUGUUUGGUUUGGUUUGGUUGUGAUAUGGGUGCUUCAGCUUUGCUUGUUCUGUUUUACUCUAGCAGUCAAUUUUGGGUUCGAUUUGUAUGUUUGUUUUGUUUUUGAACUCUUUUGGGGUUCUUUUAGGCUGCUAGGAAGAAGUAAGAGAAAGAAAAGCAUUAAAGUUUGGAUCUUUCGGUUUGUUAGGGAAAUUAGUGAACUUUCUUCACCCGGAUUUUACUGCUUGAGCACUUAAGCUGGGGUUGCUUGAGUUUAAGUUUCCAUUUUUGGCCAGGCCUCAAAUAGUAAAAUACCCACGAUUUAAAAAUCUUACAAUUUCUUGGCUUUUUCCUACAUUUCAACCAAGACUUUGUAUUUAAGAUAUUUGCUCUGCGUUCUACUUGUUGGUUGUUGUGGUGUUAAGUGGUUAAUAUGAGUGAAGGUGUAAAGACAUCUGAUUUGGUUUGUUUUCUGCUGCACAUUGUUGCCUUUGAUGGCAGCGUGCAGUAGUUACCGUACAUUUUUGUUUGUCUCGCAUAGAUAUUUUCCCAUUUUUGGGUUAUCCCAGUUCAUUACCAUACUUAGUUCUGUAUAUAUAUAUAUAUAUAUAUAUAUUAAAAUUAUUAGUGAUUGGAAACGAAUGGAUCUCCUGCUACUUGUUCUGGCUUCCUUAUUUUCUGCUUUUAUUUCUUAUAGAUCUGACUGGGACAUCUUGUUGUGUGAACGGUUAAUGUUCAAAUUGUUGUUAAGAGCACUUGGGUUUCUCUUUUUUUUAGGCUACUUUGCUUGUUAUGGACUGUUGUAAUGUGAGGUUCUUUUCAAAUUUUGUAUUCUAACUCUUUGGACGGUGCGGAUGUGUUUUGGUUCUUUCCACUAGUUUCUCUUCUUCUUUGCUACUCAAAGAAUCUUUUGAUCUGAUUUCUUGUUUUUUAGCUUUUGCUUUUGGGAGAUAUGUUGUUUUCACUUGAGAAUGCUGGAAUUGGAAGGAAAUGUGAACUUUUGUGCGAUGAUGGUUCAGUGGGAACAUCAAACUAGUGAAAAAUACAUGACUUACUUUUCUUGUGAACUUAGGUUUGUAGAAAAGUUAAACCAAUAUAAUAGUCUAGUCACUGUCGGUUACUGAUGGUGAUGAGCUGGUAAUUUUAAUCAGGAAUCUAGUUUUCAUGGUUUUGUUUUGUUUUAUCCUAUUGCUUUAUUUAGUGAAACUCUUCUUUUUUUGCUCAGAUUGUGAAAUGUCUAUACGUUGUCUUUAUCAGUGCACCCUUUCACCUUGUUGAUGCAGGAAUCUGCGGGAGCUGGACUUGCAUGAGAGCGAUGUGGAGGACCUGAGUGGGCAUUGGCUCAGCCAUUUCCCUGAUACGUACACAUCACUUGUUUCCCUUAACAUUGCCUGCUUAGGGUCUGAGUUUAGUUUCUCUUCUCUGGAGCGCCUGGUGGGUAGGUGUCCCAAUCUGAAGAGUCUCCGGCUCAAUCGCGCUGUGCCUCUUGACAGGCUAGCCAAUCUACUUCACCGGGCACCUCAGCUGGUUGAGUUAGGCACAGGGGCCUACUCAGCUGAGUUGCGGCCUGAUCUCUUCUCAAACCUAGCAGGUUCGCUCUCGGGAUGCAAGGAACUCGAGAGCCUAUCUGGGUUUUGGGAUGUGGUCCCAGCAUAUCUUCCAGCUAUUUAUUCUAUCUGCCCCGGGCUGACAUCACUAAAUUUGAGUUAUGCCACUAUUCCAAGUCCCGAUCUUAUAAAGCUUGUUAGCCAAUGUCCAAAUCUGCAGCGCCUUUGGGUAUGUCCCAUCUUAUUUGAUGUUUUCAACCUCAUAUGCCUUUAAUUCAAUUUUAAUCCUCCUUAGGUCCAAGGGUCAGAUGCUUACAGAUGCAAAUAAGUUCCAAUUGGUAAUUCCAUUUUGUAGCUAAUUAAGGAUAUGACUGCAGGUAUUGGAUUACAUUGAAGAUGUUGGCCUUGAUGCCCUGGCAGUAUCUUGCAAAGAUCUACGAGAAUUAAGGGUGUUUCCAUCAGAUCCGUUUGUAGUGGAACCAAAUGUGUUGUUGACAGAGCAGGGCCUCAUAUCUGUUUCUGAGGGCUGUCCAAAGCUCCAGUCAGUUCUGUACUUCUGCCGGCAAAUGUCUAAUGAUGCACUAAUCACCAUUGCAAGGAAUCAACCUAACUUUACAUGUUUUCGUCUUUGUAUAAUUGAGCCCCGAACUCCAGACUACCUUACCCUUGAGCCACUUGAUGUGGGUUUUGGGGCCAUUGUUGAGCACUGCAAGGAUCUCCGGCGGUUGUCUGUCUCCGGUCUACUAACUGAUCGUGCGUUUGAGUAUAUUGGAACACAUGGAAAAAAGUUGGAGAUGCUUUCUCUGGCCUUUGCUGGAGAUAGUGACUUGGGGCUUCAUCAUGUAUUGUCUGGGUGUGAGAAUCUACGGAAACUGGAGAUUAGGGACUGUCCUUUCGGUGAUAAGGCUCUUUUGGCCAAUGCUGCAAAGCUGGAGACAAUGCGAUCCCUUUGGAUGUCUUCUUGCUCAGUGAGUUAUGGAGCAUGUAAGCUGCUAGGUCAGAAGUUGCCGAGGCUUAAUGUUGAAGUUAUAGAUGAGAGGGGGCACCCGGAGUCCAGGCCGGAGAGCUGUCCUGUUGAGAAGCUCUACAUUUAUAGGUCCGUCGCUGGUCCAAGGUUUGACAUGCCUGGCUUUGUUUGGACCAUGGAUGAAGAUUCUGCAGUGAGGGUUACUUGACACUUGCGUUGAGACACCCACGGAUUCAAACCCUUGAUAUGUCUUGCAUGGGGGGCAUAGCAGGUACAUGCUUAAUAUAUGGUACUCAAUUGUUUCGCAUUUAAAUUCAUCAGUAGCUUAAUAUAGAUGCAGCUCUGAUUGGAGUGGAAGCGGGGUAGAGGGAGGUAUACAGAGGCUCAAGAGCUCGAUUGCCAUUCAUUUUACCAUUGGCUGAGCUAUGGGAUACCAGUUAGACUAAUAAAGAGAUUUAAGCUCCUGUUGUUGUUGUUGUUGUUAUAUGUAUUGAACAGAGUUGUUAAUUUUAUUCGGCAUAGCCACCACCAUGUAUACCAGCUGCAGACUUUUGCAUGUUUAUGCAUUUAUGUGGCCCUCUUUUUUCAACAGGAAGUAAUUGCCAUGUGGACCCAUUUGUAUCAUUGUUAACCUUCGAUCUCAGCAAAUAAAGCUUCAAAUUUUAAUAUUUAUCAUGUAGAUUUAGUUGGUUUUGUGAAAGAUGGAUUAGAUUGUGGUUGGAUUGGAUUGGGUCGCUGCUGAAAUGUAUGAAGGAAAUGUUGUUGAAAGCUCUCUGAGUUUGAGGACCUCUUCAUGCGUUCUUCUUGCAGUUGCACGAAAGGGCCGAUUGUUCUGCCAACAAUUUUCUUACAUUACAUAUUACACUACACUAAGAUAAUUAUUGACAUUUUGAGUAAUCAUUGUUGUGAGAUUUCCAAACAACCAUACCAUAGGGUGGUUGGGUAAAUAAUAUGAAAGAGAAAUGACAUUUCACUCAUAGGUUUUUAUAUCUUUACAUCUCAGCAAACCCAAAAGAGAGAGAAUAAUUGAAGGGUAGAAAAAAGAAAGGUAAAAAAGGCAGUUGGGUAGAAAAAGCAAGCUCCUUUGGUAAAAUGUAUGUAUGCUGAGUUGGCAAGCUUUUAAUGUUAUUGCGUAGAGAGAGAGAGAGAGAGAGAGAGAGAGAGAGAGACCUCGACUUUUGAGCCACGUGAUAGAUUCGGUGACAUUGGAGGGUAUCCACAACUUUUUGCUUCAUUCACGCUCUCUUUUCUAGCCCACACCACCACCUGAUGACCCCGCAAGAGCAAGCAACCCAAGAACACUCCUUAUUUAAGCCCUUUGAAUAUCAGAUAGAUUUCCACAGUAAUUAAUUAAAUUAAAAGAAAAUAUGAGAUAAUAUAAUAAGACAACCCCAACACACAGAGACAGAGAGAGAGAGAGCGCAAAAAAAGAUAACAUGGACAGAGAGAUUGAAAACAACUUAACAGACCACCCCCCCCGCCCCACCACGUACUGAAAAACUGACUCCAAAAAGAAAAGGAAAGAAAAAAAAAAAGAAAAAGAGUUGGUGAAUGACUGAGCAGAGCUGAGAUGAGAUGAGAAUUGAGUGUGGUGUGGAAUGUGGGGCAAUCAAAUUUGCAGACACUUUAUUGGUUGAUGAUGGCCACACGUUUGAGGGUAUUGAUGAUCAUCAUCAUUUUUAUUCUCUCCUCCUCCUCCUCCUCCUUCCUUACCAUAGUUCUUUUGCUGAUUUCGUCACUCACUCACUCUGAUUUUACUGUUUCACCCCCCAACCUCACCUAUAUCAUCAUGAUAUAUCAAAGUAAACUCACUCACUGACUCGUACUGUAUGUAUCAUUAUAAAGAGAGUUAAAGUUGUGCAAUCCUUCAGUGUGUCCUGCCUUGGCCCCAGCUCUCUCUCUCUCUCUCUCUCUCUCUCUCUCUCUCUCUCUCAGUUAAAGUUUGUACCAAAUAAGUGAACCUGCAUUGUACAAUUCAGAUCCUUAUUGCCCAACAACAAAAAUGAGGAUGAAACUUAAUUAUCAGUUCCCCAACAACCCCCCAAAACUAAACAAAAAUGAAAACAUAAUCAAGGAUUAAGAUCUUAGUUUCAAAUAUCAUAUUCUGCUAAUCCAACUUCAUCAUAUCAUAUCAUCGACUAUUAAGAAAAAGAAAAAGAAAACCUUUUUAGCAGAUUUCUGUGGGGGCAGAAUAUGGGUUCCCGACAAUGCCAAGGCCAGUAAAGAAAUGGGCUAGACUUAGUUUGGGAAAUCGGCAUGGAUAUGGAACCAAACUUGGACUUUUAAGUACAAGUAGACCCCAAAAUACUUGGACUCCGAAGAAGAUCCGGGAGCAAGCCUUAUAGUGUUGGAUGCUAAAUUCUUGGUUUCUAAGACAUACUAGAACUUUCCCAGAAGAUGUCAUUCUUUCCUUCACCCUUUUGGCUGAUAAAUAAUUGUUGCCGAGGAGGCUCAAGCUUUGAAGUUAGGUCAUGGGCAAGUUGGUUUGCUCAGAACAACAUGAAGGCAGUUUGCAUCUUAUGGGACUUCUAAUGCCACUUGAUAUAGCUCUCGUACUCUCAUGUUCAUCAUUAAACCACGUCCGAAGUACUCUGUAAUUGCUGUGCAUCGCAUCCGCUGACAAUUUUUCUUGAUUAAACAUUUCGGCACUGGUUCGUGUGCUUGUGUGUGUGAUUAUAUGCCUGAGGCUGGUUCGAUCAAAUUGUAUCAGCUAGAUGAGUGUUUAUAAGCGUUUUUGUUUAGAACCAUGGUGUUAACUGAUAAAAUGUAGCCUAUGUUUGUCCUUCAGUAAUAAACAAGGGUUUUUUCAUUUCAACUUUUGAGGCAUUAGUUUUCGAAACUUUUAAUCCUCUCCCAAAAGAGAGUUAUGCUUGGCAAAAUAAUUGAAAUCAAUAAGCAUUUAAAUGGUCAUAGCCAAUGCUGAAAAGAACUACCAGAACAAUAAUCUGUAGAUAGAACAUAUUUGGCACCUUAACCAUAUCAAAAUGGUUUUACAUUUGCUUGAGGAACUGGAAUUGCCCUUAUCAAGGUUAGUUGAGAAGUAAUUCAAUGAGCAACAUUACAAUUAUCCAAAAAUCAAACAUUUCGAAAAUUUCACAAACUAUGUUUGCUUUGCAGAACCUUGAAGAGUCUCCAAAAGAUGUUCAAUUCUGUACUUCAUAACAGGCUGACCUUUAUGCGUUUUCUUAAGCAUCUUCCCCCUCACAGACUUCCUCCGAGCUUCGGCCUUCUCUCGUUCUUCCUUCUUUGCCUGAAUAAUCGCAUCCCUCUCCCUUCUUGCUUUCUCUUCCUCUUCAUGCUUCUUCUCAUACACUUCUAUUAAAUUACGAGCACCAUACCUCUUUUUCUUGUUGUUAUUCUUACUCCUCUUACCACCAUCUUCGGUUUCGUUCUCCUUCUUACUACCAUCUUCAGUUUCAUUGUGCUUCUUACCACCAUUUUCAGUUUCACUCUCCUUAUCACCGUGUUCAAAUUCAUUCUCUUCCUGUACCAGCCACCAAAAAGAUAAAUGAAAUAAAAUUUCAAGCUGCAAAUUGUGUUUCACAAAAAGGAUUUCAAUUGGUUUAUUAUAUUAUUUACAAUGCUAAUCUUGUCUCAAUCUGUUUCUGAAGAAGAGGCAAUGAAACAUUGCUAAAAAUCAAACCUCAAGGGGUCUUAUAGCCAAUGGAAGAUUGCUCUGCUGUUGCUUCAGUGACUUCUUAUACUUGUUCACAUACUUGGAAUUCUUGUAAAACUCCUUUUGCUUCUCUGACAGAAAACACAACCAAACCUGUUUGUUAGAAUCAUUAUAAAUAUGGCAAAAUACAAGGGAGUGGUCAUAAGUUUCAUGUAUAUAGAUCCUUCCCAGCAAGAAAAAAGUAAAAGAGGAUCAUAUAAACAGGAAAACAUUGAAACAGAAACAGAGAAAAACUAAAACCCGAGUAAAGAGCAAAUAUUUAACAAAGUAGAAUGAAAAUGCAAUUAAAGGAGAGGGCUUUAUACUUAUCAAAGCAGGAUUGAAGUAGCUGCUGCUAUUUGAUUUGGCAUUAGCGAAGGCCUCGAGUGAAAGGCCUUGCCCACCCAUUCUCCUCAUGUUCUUCUUCUUCUUCUUCAUGCUAUCCUUCUUUUUGUUGAUCGAUGUCGAGCCGUUGAAUUUCUCCCUGUUUCCUUCGUCUUUUGGGUAUCGGUUCUUCAUGACGGAAAGGAAUUGGGAAAAUAUUGAGAAACUGAUGCAGAAAUACGGCAAAUUCGGCCAAAACGGUGAGGAAGAUUAAUGACUAAAGCGGAGGAAUUGGAAACCCUAAUUUGCAGGAUUGGCAAAAGUGCUUUAGUGCAACUGUGCAAGGCGGGACUCGUAGAUAUUUUUUUUCUUUCAGGGACUCGUAGAUAUUAUUCUUAUUUAAUUAAUAAUUUUAAUUUUUAAUGUUUGUAUUAAUUAAUGAUAUUUUUUGGUAUUUUGAAUGUUUUACCCUUCUUUACCUUUUGCUUUAUAUAUAUAGAUAAAAUAAGUAGAAAGCGAAGUAUAGUAAAAAGAAAAACAUCUAUUGGUAUUUUGCUUUCUAACAGUUGAAAAAGAUACAAUCUUCGAAAUCCUCCAUACUCUUCAUUGAUAAAAUAAGUUAAUUAGUCAUAAAAGAAAAGGACUUCAUUUGAGUGGUUAAACUCAUAAAAUUAGCAUGAUGAAGCGAUAUGAUAGUUGGACUUGGAGUUAAGUUUUUCUCUUUAUAAACGAAUGCAUGAUCUCUCAUUGGGGAACUUCCAAAUUUGAAGAAUGUAAUUGUCGCAAGUGAUUGAAUUCAUGUAGUAGGAAGAUAGAUAGAUAAAUUCUCAAGCAUCCAUUGGAUUAGAUUGUCAUUUUUGUUUCGCUACAAUUGUGAUUAGACUAUAUUUUCUCGCUUCUAUUUCUAGUAUUCAUUCAUUCUGGUAGGAAAGCCCACAUGUAAGAUUAAACCAAAUAAGGUAUGAGCAAGGGAAAAAGACAAUCAUGGAGAAAUAGAAUGUCAAUAUGAUGUCUACCGUUCGAUUCCCUCCAAUAUCUGUUAUAGAAAAUAAAAAUAUAUUUAAAAAAAACCCUAUGCUAAUUGGCAAUAUCUCCAUAGUGCCCCUUUGCCAACCCUAGGCAAUCACGUAAUUGAUUCACUUGGCUCAUUUGGUCUAGUCUAGGUGAUCACACAAUUGAUUCAUUUGGCUCAGCAGCAGCUGCAUCUCCAGCCCUUCUAUCAUUUGUCAUGCUCUCUGUUGACUGAUUCUCCUCAGCUUCAGAACUCUUCUUUGUGUCCUCUGUUUUCAAUUGACUGUCACUUGCUACAAUGUCAUUUACUGCAACCACAUUUGGUAUCUGAUUGAGGCUAAAUUCUGGUAACAUAGAUUUCUUUGAGUUCUUGAACAUCAGAUACAUAAUCAUCUGCGCUAACCCGAAUGCGAAACCGAGGAUGUUUGGUGCCUAAACAUGAAAGAAAACAAGGCAGAUAGAUUUAAAACUUGGGCAAAUUAUAUUGCAUUAUAUAUUGUGUUUCUGCAUGUAUAUAUAAUGACAAGUUUUACCGCUAUGAACAAAUCCCUCACUAGAAGGCCAUAGAAGAACCACAUUACAGCACAGAGAGUUAAGCAGAAUGACAAAGGGAAGGACAUGAACUCCACACUCCUCGUUCUAAUAACUAGCCUCUGAAAAGUAUAGCAGGAGAUAAUCAAUUGUGUGUUUAGAUCUGUCAAGAAUAUAGUGUUUGAUUUGGCAUGAAAUAAAUAAGCAAUAUUGUUACCAUUAUACUCAGAGGAGCAGCAAACACACAGACAGAGAACACAACACUAAUCCACCCAACAACUUUAAUCCGCAGAAAAUGAUUUGGAAUUAGGUAGGUGCUCAAUACGAUCACACCAUAAACCCCCACAUUAAAAAGGACAAGAAGCUUUGCUGUGUAAAUCUGCAAAACCAUAAAAAAUUAAAGAUGAACAAGAAAUGAAUAUCUUAUAGGUAGAAAGAAGAGAGAGCAUUAUAAAUUUAGAAAGUAUGUACCCUGGUUUUUGCUGGUGCAUAAAUCAUGUACAUUACAAGGUAACUGGUUUCUAUGAUGCAACCAACGGAGUUGAUGGUGAUGAGCAUAAAAGCAUUGGUCUUGAGGAAGGCAUAGUAGAGCAUAAGCAUGGCGCUAAACAGAGCCACCGAAUAAGGUAUGGACUGGAACCCUUCUGUUGAUUUUUUCUUGAAAAUUCUAUAAAAUGUUGGCCUAUAAAAUAAAAUAAAAGGCAGUGCAAAAAGUUAGAUAACAAUUACAUAUGAUACAUGAACUCCCAUAUGUGCAUGAAGGAGACAGAGAGAGAGAGAGAGAGAGAGAUUACAGUGGCGCUAGGUACACCAUGAAGGCCACGAUGUUACCUGUCAAAAUGAAAAACAGAGGAAGAGAGAGAGAGAGAGAGAGAGAGAGAGAGAAUUUAGAAUUGAAAACCAAGUGAAAAUUGAAAAGAAAAAAGAACCCAAUUAUUAAUACCAAAAGGGGGAGGGGUGGUGGGUGGUGUGUAUGGUGGGCGCCGGGGUUGAGAGGAGGUAGAGCUGUGUAGCUAUGGUACCUACCUAGAAUACCAAAAACAGAGGCCAAGAGGAAAGCAUCAGGGGCUGCCAUUCUCAGGGUGAAGCUCUUUUAACUCCUAAGGAGUAUGUGAGGAUUUGAGGGGCACUCCAAAGACUCAAAGAGGUUGCUCUAAUUGUUGCAUUGUGUGCCUUUAUAUAGGAGAGCAGAAGUGGAAAGAAGACCCAAGAAAAAAGAAACAGAGUUGAGCUUAGUGUUGGAAACUGAGAGUUGGAGCUAGCUAUGAACAAACUGUAUAUUUGAUGUGUUGUGGGCAAAGAGUUAAUGAGGUUCCUCCUCGAACCCUUCAAGCUUAUAUUACUAGUUUUGAUGUUGAAUUGGGAAAAAUGAGCAGCUAGCCUAGCCUAGCCUAGCCUAGCUAAUAGCUUGAGCCAUUAGGUUACGUGAAGCAAAGGUCGACCAAAAUGGAUAUCUGAUAGGCCACACCACAAAGCAGCCGUUACGUUUAAAGGGCUUUAUGCAAAUGUAUUUUCAUGUAUUGUACGCAGAAUAUGCAGUGUGUGUGUGUUUAUAAAGCUUUUGGUUGCCUGCCAAUUGGCAAUUGGCAAUUGGACUGUCUGUCUUUAGCUUACUCUACUGUGUCUUGUUCUUUUUACACAUGUUUUUCUUUCCCUAGGUAAUCAUAAUCAAUGAGGACAACUACAAGCAAUUAGCCACAAGAUUAAGACACUCUUAGCUUAGUACUAAAGGAUAACCAUAAUUAGGUGUGAACAAAUUGCCAGCCACAUUUAGAAUUGUAGCAUCAAGGGCUAGCUAUAAAUAAACUCUUCUUAGUCAUCCUCUGUUUCAUAAUAGAUAUUUUUUUGGGGACGAAAGCGUAAUAGAUGUUGAAAAAGCCAGCGAGCACCAUUUCUUGAAAUGCUACUUGCUCACUUGGUGCUUGCCAGACAACGAUGCUACUUAAAUGGAAAAUGCAGAAAUGUGAAGCAGUUAUUUUCUAUGCCCUGGCAAGUUUUGUACCAAUUUAUUUCCUUUUUCCGAUUUAUUUUCGCAUAAACUUUUGUGAGCGGCCAUGCAUGCUAUGCUUGUACAACUUUUGUGUUCAGUUAUGGGCAUUGGGCUUACCAUAUAUGAUAUCUCGUUCAUUCCUCUUCUGUGGUGAAGUUAAUUUUCAAAUAUGGAUGUAUGUGUAUAAAUAUAGUUUUCUUACGCUUUCCGCUUAUGGGUUGGUCUUUCUUGAUUUGCUUUGUAAUCUAGUGCAUAUGCAGUGGCCCUGGAACAAACUGAAAUUGCAACAGAAGGGGCGGCCUAUUGCAUAGGAAGUGUAUAUCUUUCUGUUUCUCAUCUUUUUAGUUUGUUAUGAAAUGCAAAUUUUUUAUUAUUAUUUAUUUUGCGAAGGAAAUACUCCAAUUAGGUAACUAGAACUAUACUUGUUGGUUUUAGCAAGCAAGUUUGAGUUGACAUUUGUAACCACUUAUUAUAGUCUUUAUAAGUCUCGGCGGUUUUACUAGAUUGGUUUGGAUUGAGCACAUGGUGGUCCACGUAAGCUUGACCUUUUGUUAACUUGGGCUCUAAUUUAAAUUAGUUUUUGCCCAAAACAAAACCUAGCGAACACAAGGAACAACUUUAAAUAUGUUUAGGUUUAGGUUAAAAGACAAGCACGGUAACAACCACAAGCGCAUUGUGUGUCACAGCACAUUAAUUCCAGACCAUGUUUCACUUCUCCAUCAAAUCCUCUUUUCUGCAACCGCUAUUUAUUUAUAUAUUUAACAAACGAAACACAACAAUUAGUUAGUUGGAUUGUUAUUAGUCUGUUUCAAUUGACUUUUAAUUAAAUAGCAGUUCUAUACGAGCCCUUAAUGCAAAUUAUGGCAAAAGAAACAGAAAAACUCAUAAACAAGUACUUACACGAAUUCACAAGAAGUAGGAUACAGAGAAAUAAAAUGGUGAAACAAGCUUAGAAAUCCUAUGCAUACUUUUUUCUUCGUAAACUCCAUUUGAUCUCAAAAACAUCAAGCAAUAUUUCAACAUUAAGCAAUGCUCUGUGAAAGUUGUCAAGACGUGUCAUAAAUAGGGUUAAAGGGAAAUUUGAUUAUUUAAAAUGGUCAAGAGGCUCUCAAUCAAGGUUUGGAUUGAGCCAUAAGCAUAAGCAUAAGUCUCAGUCAUUUUACUAGUUUGGUUUGGAUUGAGCCACAUGGUGGAGCACGUGAGCUCGACCUUCUGUUAAGUUGGGCUCUGAUUUAAAUUAGUUUUUGCCCAAACAAAACCUAACGAUCUGAUAAUAUAUUAUCAAUCAAAAUAUCUUCUAAGCAUUGCUAGUUUGGUUUGUUUAAGAGAAAGAGAAGAGUCUGACCGAAAAAAAAGAAAAAGAAAAAAAGAAAGAGAAGAGGUAAAUUAAUGUAGGUAACUUCCAUAAGUUGGUGGGUCUACACUACACAUAGCAAACCAACUUCGUUUGAGCAGGAAUAUGAAUAUUACUUGCAAGUUGGCCGGGGAAAGACAAGUAUUUCCCUAACUAGCAUAUGAAAUAUAAAGGCGAUUGUGGACCUAGUAAUAACUAAGGUCUAAAAUAUUGAUGGUUUUGGAAAUAUUAGUAGUCUAAAAAUACAGAAAUUUUAAUGGAAACAUCGGGAUAUUAUCAAUAUUGAUAAAAAUUGAAUAAAAACUACUGAAAUUAUAAGAAAAACUUGGAAAUUUUUCUUGAAAUUUUGGAGGUGUUUAUUUAGUCAAUUAUCUAUUAAUUUAUCACAAAAAAUUGGAAGAAAAUGCAUUGCAUGAUGGGUUUAACUGAUUUAAAUUAAUUAUAUAGCGAGCUGAUAAAUACUACGAGUGUAGAAAAUAUGUAGUAAUUAAUGAAAGAACAUUAAACACACCACAAUCAUUUAUUUAUAAUGAUUUACUACAGUAUUUUACACAUUUAUACAUUGCAUGGUAAGAUACAUGAGUGACUUAGUACACAUAGAGUUCCUAUAAGAUUCAAAUUUUAGUUAUUUACACUACACCUCCUGAGGUUUUCAGUUUUUUCACAAAUCUUCUUGACGUUUUAGAAAUUACAAGAACACCCCCGAAGUUUUAAAUUAUUUUCACAAAACUCCUUUUCAUUUAUUUUUCAUCCAAAGAUUGAUGAUUUUAUACGAAAAAAUUCUCCAAAUAACAAAGUUGGCCUUUGAGAUUUGAUUGCAUAUACUAAUUUUGUCAUUUGCAUAAGUUUUUUUUUUCAAUAAAAUCAUCGAUUUUUGAACAAUCAAUCAACGAAAAGGGGUUUUGUGAAAACAAACUGAAAUCUCAAGGGGUGUUCGUGUAAUUUUUGAGACAUGAGAGGAUUUUAUGAAACCACAAGAAACCUUAGGGGGUGUUAGUGUAAAUGUUGGGAGCAAAUAAUUCGGCUUCCAAUCAUGAGACGCCAUAUGGACAAGAAGAAUAUCUCCUAGGUCAAUCAAUUGAGCCCAUUUAUUUGGCAAAUUAAUUGAUACUAAAAAUAUGGAUAUUAUAUUUAUUUUAAAGAGAUAAUAUGACCAAUUAAGAUAUUAUCCUUAUUUGGAGAUAUCAUCAUCAAAUUACGAGAUUUGAUUGGGAUCAAAUCCCAAAUGGACUCAAUCUCUACAAUUUGGGGAAAGAAUAAAUUCUUUCCCAAUAUGAGUUUAUUCUUUAGGGUUUAGAUUCUUUGAAAAAUCCUAGAUGCCUAGAGCCCUAUAAAUACAUGGCUUCAUUCAACACUCAAGGUAAUAUGAAUUCUAAACAUAGUCCUCAAACCCUACAAAAAUACUCAAAGUUCUCCACUCUUUCUCUCCCAUAGCCGAUGUGUUGAAGAAUAUAAGUUCCACAUCGGAAACUUGACUAAAUAAAAUAAAAUAUAUAAUGAAUGGUUCCACUACUAAUAUUACCGAGACCUUUUGUAAUAAAACCCCACACCUACUGGGCUUUGUAGGUGGUUAAGUUGGGGACAAUAUAUGUGUUGUUAGUAGUGGGCCGCUGGCCCGUCUAUCUGAAAUUUAACAUGGUAUCAGAGCGGGUUGAUUGACUGUGCCUGAAUUAGGCCUUUACCUUUACCCAAUAUGUGGUGUUCACAGGUUGAGCUUGAAUGUUUACCCCUACCCUUUACCCAAUACGUGGUGUUCACGUGUUGGGAUUGAAUGAUUGACUCCGAUGUGGACUUGGCUCCACGUGUGGCUCACUAUGUAGUGGUCCCACGUGAGGGGGCUUGUUGAAGAAUAUAAGUCUCACAUCGGAAACUUGACUAAAUAAAAUACAAUAUAUAAUGAAUGGUUCCACUAUUAAUAUUACCGAGGCCUUUUGUGAUAAAAUCCCACACCUACUGGACUUUGUAGGUGGUUAAGUUGGAGACAAUAUCGGUGUUGUUAGUAUUGGGCUACUGGCCCGUCUCUUUAAAUUUAACACGAUGGCACCGUCAGUGCUGCCGGCAAUAUCUUUCUCAUCUCUCCAUAUUUUCAUACACAGCCCUGCCCACCACAUAAGGCUCCGGUCACCCGGUUCUCCCCGUAGAGAAAACACCGAACCCCUUUUUAGCUAUUGUUUCUCCUAGAUACAACACCCCCCGAGUGUGGUCUAUUUACUUCGGUCUUUUUUACAGGAACCGAGGAAGAGAGAAGGAAGAUUAAAGGUUGAAGAAUCCACAAGAGAAUAUUCUCCCGUAAGAAUAUUUGCACAGACAGUAAAUAACUCUUCAAAAUUUUCAUUGUCUUCAUCAUCUCCAUAUUAUCGAUAUUAUAACGAUAUUAUAGCAAUAUUUUGGCCAAAUAUUAUUGAAGUGUGAGAGAAACUAUCGACGUUGAUAUUAUCGAUAUUUAUACGAUAUGUGUAUGGAUACGUUCCAAAAUAUUAUUGACCAGAAAAAAUGAUAAUAUUCUCAAUAUUGCAUAGAUAUUAUUGAUAUUUUAGGCUAUAGUCACAAUGCACAACAAAACAAAGUAAACAGAGAUAAAAUAGCAAUGAUAAGCUAUUAGCAAUUUGGCAUCGGUUAAGAUUUGGAUUUAAUUAGCUGAACCUGAUUAUGAUAGAACUUGAAAUUUAAAUGCUGUUAAUUAGUGUAGAGGACAAAAACAAAUUGCAUUUGUCAUUUAAAAAAAAAAAAAUCCAUUGAACAUAUAUAAGGAAAGAGUUGACAGAACGGUUGGUACUUUCCCUCAUAAUAUUGCACACAGUGGCGGAGCCACUUAUAAGCCUGGAGUAGUCCUAUCCCAACCCCCACAAUAUAUAUAUAUAUAUAUAUAUAUAUAUAUUAUCUCUCUACUAUUAUAUUAUAUAUACAAGAUAGAAUUAGUACUAAACAACUUAUAAUUGAAGUUAAAAUUUCUCUAAAAUAAAUUAGACAUGAAUAAAUUAGAAAUAUUUAACUCUAGACAUGUAACUAUUGAAUACUUCAAUAUUUUAUAUAUUUGUAUUUUCUAUUCCAAGCCCCCUAACUUUACAAUUCUAACUCCGCCCUUGAUUGCACAUACAUGCAUUUUCCAAAGACAUUUAAUUAUUUAUAUGCAUCAAUUUAGUAUAGAAAAGAAAGGACGAACUUUUUUAGUAAAUUUGCUCAUGUGGUAACGGCUCAUUGGGAAAUUUUUUUAAUUUUAUAUUUUAUAUUUGAUAGGCAAAUUUAAGGUAAAUAAGCUGCUCAUACAGAAAUGCAGGCUACAAUUACCAUACUGGACUAAAUUUAAUUCCCCAGCUAAGGCCAUAUAUAUCAUGUACGUACUAUAAAAAGCAGCAAGCACUAUGAGGAAUUACAACAACUAGCUAUGAGGCAGAUAAUGGCAGCUGCAAUAAUAUUGCAAUGCAUCCUAUCACUUGGCUUCUUCCUUGCUUGCGUUUGCGUUAAUGCCGCAGGGAAACCAAAUGGCUUGACCAUGGAACUCAUCCAUGUGGACUCGCCGGCAUCACCUCUCUAUCCGGGAAAUAUUUCUUAUGAAGAAGAAAUCCAAAGACUCACAGACCGAUCCAUUGCCCGAGCUCAACACCUUCAUUACACCUUGGCAUCCCUCGGUAACAAUAAUGUGUCACAAACUAUAAUCAACCCUCUUGACAUUCGUCCAAGACUCGAAUUUCACCCUUACGGCUCUUACCUUGUACAAGUUGGGAUUGGGACUUUUGAUGCAACUUUCCCGGCAAGGUCAUUCAAUACAUACUACUUGUACACUGACACUGGAAGCAUCCUCACAUGGGCGCUGUGCGAGGAUUGUCUCAAGCCUGGAAACCAAUGCUUUCAAACCAAAGAACCCCCUUUCCCUAACAGCAAGUCCAAAUCUUAUGUUGCUCUCUGUUGCAAUCAAAACCCGUUUUGCAAGACAGGCCAAUGCACCGGUCCUUACUGCUCCCAGCACGAUGUGUACAUGGGCGGCACCGUUGUCAAUUCUAUUCUUUCAGGCAUGAAUAUUUUAAUCUUUUUAGUAUUAAUUCUCGAAAAAUAUCGCAACUAACUAAUAAAUGACAACUGGUUGCUUUGCAUGCGCAGCUGAAAAUUUCAACUUUUUGUCAAUUAGUGGGCAGCCACUGAUGCUUCCAGGCGUAGUGUUUGGUUGUGCUUAUGACACCAGGAAAAUCGGUUUUGGAAGGCUGGAAGAGUUCAAGAUUGCAGGAAUAUUGGGUUUGGGAUAUGCUCCGAUUUCCUUUCCACUGCAACAAUCCUAUCAAACUGGUAAAGUAUUCUCAAUGUGCCUAACACGCCAAAGAGAGAUCCAAACAUAUCUCAGAUUUGGUAAGGACGUCCCCACACCACCAGGUGGUCUGCGUGUCACCAAAUUAGUGUUCUUCAAAGACAUACCAUAUUACUACGUCAAUCUGUUGGACAUAAGUGUGCAUGGACAAAAGCUUCUCAUAGACCCAAAUGUGUUUGCUGUACGAAAUCAGGGCACAAGUGGCGGCUGCAUCAUGGACAAUGGUAGCUCAUUUACUUUUCUCAUCAGGCCUGCUUUUAAUGCUGUGGUUCAGUUUCUGGAGAUGUAUUUCAUGCGCUUUCCUCGCCUUUUUAAGGGUGGUAGGCCUCUUGGGCCCCCUUUUGAACUUUGCUACAAAUGGAUGACGCCGUUGCCACCUCUACCUACUUUGACAUUUCACUUUGAAAAUGCUGACCUUGUGAUCAACCCAGAGGACUUAUUCAUAAAGGUGAAUGCUGAGCAGCAGGGGAACUAUCUCUUAUGUUUGGCCUUCAUCGCCGACGAUGCUCGUACUAUUCUUGGAUCAGUGCACCAAUCCAAUUACUUAUUCAUAUAUGAUCUUAACCAGAAGCUGUUGAAGUUUGCUCCUGAGGAUUGUUCUAAGAAUUCUUGAUCACCUCAAGCUUGAUAUAUCAUGUAAUCUCUCUUUCAUUUUCAUUCCAUCCAUGUGCUCUUUUUUUGUUCAAAAUAAUUAGUUCUUUUGCAACCUUGUAGAUUUUUUAAAAUGUUUUAAUCACCUCAAGCUUGAUAUGAUUCACUACCACCACCAUGUCUCCACCACCACAACUAACUUGUCACGGCCAAUUACUCCCACCGCCAUUGUCGCCACAAACAAUCAACCUCACUCUAAUGUAUUGAUAGGCACAGUAAAAAUUGUGCGAGAAAUGAAUCACACAACACCAUAACACAAUAUUGAUAGGCACAAUAAAGACUAAUAUACCUACUACUAAAAUUAUUUACCUAUAGUUUCAAGUAUGGACAUUGACAUUAAGUAUCACAAAAAAUGAUAGGUAAAUUAUUAUCCAUAAAAAGAGAUAAGUUAUUAUUCAUAAAAGAUAAUAGGUAUAUUAUUAUCCAUAAAAUAAUAGGUACAGUAGAAAAUUAAUAGGUAUAUUAUCAUUCAUGAAAAAGAAACAAAUAUAUAUGUUGAUUUAGAAAAGAAACAAAAAUAAUCAUGAAAUAGGUAAAUUAUUAUUCAAAAAAUUUAAAAAUCAAGUAACCAAUAAAUCAAACGUUAAAAUAAAGAUUAGUUGUGUUAAAAUAUUAGGAGAUAACACAUAACAAGCAUAGGUAAAAACAUGAAUUUUUUCUAUUUUAAUGCCAAAAAAAGAAGAUAAAAACUUACUAACAAAUCAACUUUAUGCUAAUCACCAUUUGAAAUUUAAAAAUUUAAUGAAAUGGAUAGACACGUAUGGCAAUUGAACAUGUAUAUAUAAACAAAAUAUGCUGAAAAUAAACUCAACACAAUAAAUGGAGACAACUCUUCUUAAAUAUCACAUGAACGGUUUGAUUAUUGUGUCUUGCGUCACAUUUAUAGAGAAACGAAUGGAGUGGCCAACUGUCUCGCCAAAUGGAGUUCCAACAUAACUUGGGUCUAUAUACUUUUGAUCAUGUGCCUACUUGGGUGUGAUCCUUUCUAAUGGAUGAUUUGUUUAAGGGUGCCCAGGACCUGUGCGGUUUGUCCUAAUUCUGUUUGGUUUUUCUUUUUGGGGCUCGGCGCCCCCAUUUUACCCAAAAAAAAAAAAAAAAAAUCACAUGAACAGUAAGUAGGGGUAAUUUAGGUAUCUGAAAAAUAUUAAAACCUUGAUUAGGUAAGUAGCUUAGUUGGAUCCUAGUCACUGAACUUUAGCCAAAGAAACAUAUUUUGAUGGGUUGCGGACUAGGAAAAAUGAAUUUGAGUGAAACCCCAAAUUUUCUAUUUUACUUUUCCAAACUAGGGUUAGAAGUUCCAUUAUCUCUGUCCUGUGUCCUCCCUCUCCUACAAACUAGGGUUAGAAGUUCCAUUACCUGAAUGUGACGUCGUUCUUCCACCAUCCCAAUCCAAAGCUCCCGUUCUCCAAUUCAAUAUGGAAAAGUAUUAGAAGGGCUUAACAGACCAACAAAUAUAUGCAGGCCACCAUUACCAUACUGGGGCUAAAUUUAAUUCCCCAACGAAGGCCAUACUAUAAAAGCAGAAAGCACUUUGAGGAAUUGUGAAAAACAUGAGGCAGAUAAUGGCAGCGAUAUUGCAUCACAUGUACUUGUUUGCUUCCUAUGACUUAGCUUCUUGUUUGCUUGUGUUAAUGCCGCAGGCAAACCAAAUGGCUUGACCAUGGAACUCAUCCACGUUGACUCGCCGGUAUCACCUCUCUAUCCCGGCAAUAUUUCUUAUGAAGAAGAAAUCCAAAGACUCAUAGAUCGAUCCAAUGCCCGAGCUCAAUACCUGCAUGCUACCCUGGCAUCCCUCGGCAACAAUAAUGUGUCACAAACUAUAAUCAACCCUCUUGAUAUUCGUCCGAAACACAAGAGAGGGGCCUUGCUUAGUAACUAAAGGGUAACCAUUAUUAAGUGUGAAUAAAUUGCCCGGCACAUUGAGAUUUGCAGUUAUAAAUGAAGUCUUAGUCAUCCUCUGUUCUGUACUGGAUGUUGAAAGAGCCAGCGAGCACCACUCGCUCACAACGAUGCUACUUAAAUGGAAAAGGCAGAAAUGUGAAGCAAUUAUCAUCGAUUAAUUAUGCCUUCCUUUCUAUGACCUGGCAAGCUUAGCUUUGUACCAAUUUAUUUUCUUUUUCCCAUUUAUUUUUGCUUCAACUUUUAUGAGCGGCCAUGCCUGCUAUGCUUGUACACUUGUUUAGGUUCCUAAUUUCGUGUUCAGUUAUGGGCAUUGGGCAUACUUUAUAUGAUAUCCCCUUCAUUCUUCUCUUCUGUGGUCAAGUUAAUUUUCAAAUAUGCAUGUAUGUGUGUGUGUGUGUAUAACUACACUUUUCUUACACUUUUCGCUUAUGGGGUUGGUAUUUCUUGAUUUUCUUUGUAAUCUAGUGCAUAUGCAGUGGCCCUGGAAUAAGCUGAAAUUGCAACAGAAGGGGCCCUAUUGCAUAGAAGAAAGUGUAUAUCUUUCUGUUUCUCAUCUUUUUAGUUUGUUAUGAAAUGCAAAGUUUUUAUUAUUUAUUAUUUCUUUUGUGGAGAAAAUACUCCAAUUAGUUUACUUACUAGAACUAUACUUGUUGGUUUUAGCAAGCAAGUUUGAGUUGAAAUUUGUUAUCGGACAUUGCAAAAGUCUUUAUAAGUCUUGGCCAUUUUACUAGAAUGGUUUGGAUUGAGCCACAUGGUGGAGCACGCAUGAACUCGACCUUCUGUUGACUUGGACUGAUCGGAUUUAAAUUAGUUUUUGCCCAAACAAAACCUAACUUUAAUAAUAUAUUAUCAAUCAAAUUAUCUUCUAAGAAUUGCAAUAGUUUGGUUUGUUUAAGACAAAGAGAAGAGGCAAAUGUAGGUGACUUUCAUAAGUUGGUGGGUCUACACUACACAUAGCAAGCCAACUUUGUUUGAGCAGGAAUAUGAAUAUUACUUGCAAGUUUUAUGAUAUAACUUGAAAUUCAAAUCUGUUAAUUAGUGUAGAGGACAAAAACAAAUUCCAUUUGUCACUGAGUAAACAUACAUGCAUUCUCCAAAUACAUUUAUUUAUUUAUAUGCAUCAAUUUAGUACAGAAAUGAAAGGACGAACCUUUUUUUUAGUAAAUUUGCUUAUGUGGUAAUGGCUCAUAGGGAAAUUGUUUUUAUUUUUUUAUUCAAUUUUUGAUAGGGAAAUUUAAGGUAAAUAAGCUGCUCAUAUAGAAAAGUAUUAUAUAUACAUAGAAGGGUUUAAUCAUAUGGACAACAAAUAUAUUACCAUACUGGGCUAAAUUUAAUUCCCAAGCUAAGGCCAUAGAUAUCACGUACGUACUAUAAAAAGCAGCAAGCACUAUGAGGAUUGCAACAACUAGCUAUGAGGCAGAUAAUGGCAGCAAUAAUAUUGCAAUGCAUCCUAUCACUCGGCUUCUUCCUUGCUUGCGUUUGCGUUAAUGCCGCAGGGAAACCAAAUGGCUUGACCAUGGAACUCAUCCAUGUGGACUCGCCGGCAUCACCUCUCUAUCCGGGAAAUAUUUCUUAUGAAGAAGAAAUCCAAAGACUCAUAGACCGAUCCAUUGCCCGAGCUCAACACCUUCAUUACACCUUGGCAUCCCUCGGUAACAAUAAUGUGUCACAAACUAUAAUCAACCCUCUUGACAUUCGUCCGAAACUUGAAUUUCACCCUUACGGCUCUUACCUUGUACAAGUUGGGAUUGGGACUUUUGAUGCAACUCUCCCGCCACGGUCAUUAAAUACAUACUACUUGUACACCGACACUGGAAGCAUCCUCACAUGGGUGCUGUGCGAGGAUUGUCUCAAGCCUGGAAACCAAUGCUUUCAAACCAAAGAACCCCCUUUCCCUAACAGCAAGUCCAAAUCUUAUGUUGCUCUCUGUUGCAAUCAAAACCCGUUUUGCAAGACAGGCCAAUGCACCGGUCCUUACUGCUCCCAGCACGAUGAGUACAUGGACGGCACCGUUGUCAAUUCUAUUCUUUCAGGCAUGAAUAUCUUAAUCUUUUUAGUAUUAAUUCUCGAAAAAUAUCGCAACUAACUAAUAAAUGACAACUGGUUGCUUUGCAUGCGCAGCUGAAAAUUUCAACUUUUUGUCAAGCAGUGGGCAGCCACUGAUGAUUCCAGGCGUAGUGUUUGGUUGUGCUUAUGACACCAGGAAAAUCAGUUUUGGAAGGCUGGAAGAGUUCAAGGUUGCAGGAAUAUUGGGUUUGGGAUAUGCUCCGAUUUCCUUUCCACUGCAACAAUCCUAUCAAACUGGUAAAGUAUUCUCAAUGUGCCUAACACGCCAAAGAGGGAUCCAAACAUAUCUCAGAUUUGGUAAGGACGUCCCCACACCACCAGGUGGUCUGCGUGUCACCAAAUUAGUGUUCUUCAAAGACGUACCAUAUUACUACGUCAAUCUGUUGGCCAUAAGUGUGCAUGGACAAAAGCUUCUCAUAGACCCAAAUGUGUUUGCUGUACGAAAUCAGGGCACAAGUGGCGGCUGCAUCAUGGACAAUGGUAGCUCAUUUACUUUUCUCAUCAGGCCUGCUUUUAAUGCUGUGGUUCAGUUUCUGGAGAUGUAUUUCAUGCGCUUUCCUCGCCUUUUUAAGGGUGGUAGGCCUCUUGGGCUCCCUUUUGAACUUUGCUACAAAUGGAUGACGCCGCUGCCACCUCUGCCUACUUUGACAUUUCACUUUGAAAAUGCUGACCUUGUGAUCAACCCACAGGAGUUAUUCAUAAAGGUGCAUGCUGAGCAGCAGGGGAACUAUCUCUUAUGUUUGGCCUUCUUCGCCGACGAUGCUCGUACUAUUCUUGGAUCAGUGCACCAAUCCAAUUACUUAUUCAUAUAUGAUCUUAACCAGAAGCUGUUGAAGUUUGCUCCUGAGGAUUGUUCUAAGAAUUCUUGAUCACCUCAAGCUUGAUAUAUCAUGUAAUCUCUCUUUCAUUUUCAUUCCAUCCAUGUGCUCUUUUUUUGUUCAAAAUAAUUAGUUCUUUUGCAACCUUGUAGAUUUUUAAAAAUGUUUUAAUCACCUCAAGCUUGACAUGAUUCACUACCACCACCAUGUCACCACCACCACAACUAAUUAACUUGUCAUGGCCAAUUACUCCCACCACCAUUGUCGCCACAAACAAUCAACCUAACUCUAAUGUAUUGAUAGGCACAGUAAAAAUUGUGCGAGAAAUGAAUCACACAACACCAUAACACAAUAUCAAUAGGCACAAUAAAGACUAAUAUACCUACUACUAAAAUUAUUUACCUAUAAUUUCAAGUAUGGAAAUUGACAUUAAGUAUCACAAAAAAUGAUAGGUAAAUUAUUAUCCAUAAAAAGAGAUAAGUUAUUAUUCAUAAAAGAUAAUAGGUAUAUUAUUAUCCAUAAAAUAAUAGGUAUAUUAUUAUCCAUAAAAUAAUAGGUACAGUAGAAAAUUAAUAGGUAUAUUAUCAUUCAUGAAAAAGAAACAAUUAGAUAUGUUGAUUUAGAAAAGAAAAAAAAUCAUGAAAUAGGUAAAUUAUUAUUCAAAAUCAAGUAACCAAUAAAUCAAAUGUUAAAAUAAAGAUUAGUUGUGUUAAAACAUUAAGAGAUAACACAUAAAAAUCAUAGGUAAAAACAUGAAUUUUUUCUAUUUCAAUGCCAAAAAAAGAAGAUAAAACUUACUAACAAAUCAACUUUAUGCUAAUCACCAUUUGAAAUUUAAAAAUUUAAUGAAAUGGAUAGACACAUAUGGCAAUUGAAUUGUAUAUAUAAACAAAAUAUGCUGAAAAUAAACUCAACACAAUAAAUGGAGACAACUCUCCUUAAAUAUCACAUGAACGGUUUGAUUAUUGUGUCUUGCGUCACAUUUACAGAGAGACGAAUGGGGUGGCUAACUGUCUCGCCAAAUGGAGUUACAACAUGGACUUGAGUCUAUAUACUUUUGAUCAUGUGCCUACUUGGGUGGGAUCCUUUCUAAUGGAUGAUUUGUUAAGGGUGCCCAGUUCUCCAAUUCAAUAUAGUUUCAAAACAAUCCCGCCAUGAUCCAUAUGUGCAGGCUGCAAUAUAUUGAUAUACUCUUUCCAAUUAAUUACAACACUCAUUCUAUCAAUAAGUCAAUUAGUGAGUAAUACUCUGACAUUCACGCAGACAGAAGAAAAAAAAAGGGGGUGACCAAAUUCAGAGUCCAGCAAGAUGAAAAUGAAAACCCACUUCUUGUGAGCAUCGACAAGAAGAACCAUCGCACCUGCACUGCACUGCACCUGAGGAUUGUAGUUGUGUUGUGAAUACUUUCCCUCAUCAUUGUCAUUGCACAUGCAUGCAUGCAGCAGCGGACUUAGGAAUUUUUCAACGGAUGUGCAAUUCUUAAAAGCUAAAAGCUAAAAAAAAAAAACGCAGGACUCUUGUGAUGCACGCACUCUUUGGACGAUGUUAAAUUGGUUUUUUAUAAAGAGAAUUCUCAAUCCCAUUUAAAUAAGGAAUUCUCAAAACCCAAUUGAAUAAAGAGAAUUUUUAAUUAAAACCCAAUUAGGUACGAAUUAUAACAGCCCUUUAGAAGCCCACGAAUGGCCUAACAGUUUCCCCUUCUUUUUUGUUUUUUUUUAUCUUUGGCCUUUUAGGAAGAAAAAAAAGGAGGUCUCCACCUACAGUAAGAAUAGUGGCAAGGAUGUAAUUAUCCACCUCAAAACCCUCUGUUCGAAUCCAAUACAUGAGCUUCAUAGCCUCCUGGCAGAGACCAUUCUUUGCAUAACCCACUAUCAUAGCCUUCCAAGAAACCAAAUUCCGUUCUGGCAUGCUGUCAAACUUGAAAUGCCUCCAUUACAUACCACAUUUUGCAUACAUAGAAAUCAAAGCGCUACCCACAAAAACAUUAGACAUGACAGGAUUUUUAUUUGCAGAGGAGUGAAUCAAUUUCCUGUGCAGAACGGUUUCCAGCUGGGCGCAUGCUUUCAAAGCGGAUGAGUAAGUAAAUGCAUUGGGCUCUACCCCAUCCUCCAUCAUUUCAUUCAAGAGCAGCGCACAGCAGCGCAAUUCACUUGUGCAUUUCAUCGAACAGCUUCCAUGCAUGAGUAGAGGUUCUGCAGCUUUUAUGGAGUUUUCAGGAGACCGGAUGUAACACCCGACCCCAAAUUUAACCCUUAUUUAAUUAUUUAAUUAUUUAAGGGCAUUUUGGCCAUAUUUUUAACCGGAGAGAGUUUGGGGCAGUGACUAGUAUUUUUGGAUAGGUCGUACUGAGACGAGUUCAUAGACACGUAGUGGGUUCGAAUCGGAGUUGUAACGAGAGUGAUAUGGUCAAAAGAAGCCCAGUGGCACAAUCGUAAAUAUUUCGAAAUGGGAUUUUUUAUAAAACUUAGAUUUUUUUUCUCUCUCUCUCUCCCGCGACUUCUCUCUCUCUCCCGUCGGCUCUCUCUCUUUUUCUCCUCGUAUCUCCGGCCACCGACAACGGCUGUGGGCGGGGCCGGUACCAAAACGACCGGGACGACGUCCCCUUCCUUCCCCGACCGUUCCCCGCCGGCGACGCGGCCUGUGCUGGCCGGAAAAUGUGCAGAAAACUGCCGGGAGGUCAUCGAAACUUCAACGCCGUCGAUCUCCCUCCUCCGGCCACCAUUUUCGUCGACCCAGGUAUGGAUCUUGAACUUCUCGAGCUGUUCUAGCUGCCUGUUGGUUGGGUUUUGAUCGAUUCGAUAUCUAGAUCACUCGAUUUUUGAAUUGAAAAUCGGUCGAAAAUUCAGCCGCCGUGAUCGGCCAUUUCCAGCCACUUUUUGGGGUAGGUCCAAGAACAAAAGUGGCUCCAAAUAGGGUGUUAUACCUAGGGUAGGAGUUUGGAGCCGUGGUUUUGAGAUUUUCCGGCGAAGCUUUAUCGCUUUGGGCACCCACGCGCUGUAGAAAAAGUAGCGAUGUGUUUCAAUGAGAUCCUUAGGUUGUCAUGAGUGCGUAGGAUUUCGCGGAUCUCAAUUCGGACGUCGUUUGACUAUCGAACGGAUAAUCGCAUAGUGUGCGUUAUCCGGGUUUGAUAGGUUGGGACCGUUGGAUGGUCCCAAAUUUAAUAUAUGUUAAUCUAGGUAAUUUUAGGAUCGUCUAGGAAUUCACGGAUCGUGAAUCGGAGCCCCGGAUGUUCCGAAUAAUAAUUUAAAGUUUAUAUUUUAUAUUAACCGUCAGAUCGUGCGAUCGUGAGAAAUCCGACCGUCCGAUCUGAACCAAACUCGCAGGACAAGUGUCCUAUACCUGGUAGAACCCAUAGAGACUUUCGGAUCGGAAAUUGGAGGUCGUGGGUUCUACAGGUCCGUUUGACCAGGGUUAGAGUAGUUUGACCCUUGGUUGACCGUGAGUCUCCCGGAGUAAUCUCACCCUUCCAGGGGGGAUUAUCAGGAGCUAGACUAUUGUGGAGGGUUACACAAAUUAGAAUUAUUUAUAUAAUUAUAUAUGGUUGUACAAGGGUACAACAGAGUCUAGAAUGUCAGUUUGGAGUGCUAUACGCACUACUGUAGGUACCUCCCCGGAUUUUGGAUUCACUACAAGCACCACCAAGUGAAAAUUAGGUCCCACGUGGCGUAGGUUAUCCGGCGUUGGGACAGACCCCAUACGUGGCGUUGGUUGUACCGGCGUAUGGGGAUCUAUUGUGAUAUUGUGUUGAGGUCGCACGUGGCGUAGGUUAUUCGGCGUGUCGACAGACCCCAUACGUGGCGUUGGUUGUACCGGCGUAUGGGGAGAUUUGUGAUAUGAUGUUGAGAUCCCGCGUGGCGUAGGUUAUCCGGCUUUGGGACAGGCCCCAUACGUGGCGUUGGUUGUACCGGCGUAUGGGGAGUUAUGUGAUAUGAUGUGUAGGUCUCACGUGGCGUAGGUUAUUUGGCGUUGAGACAGACCCCAUACGUGGCGUUGGUUGUACCGGCGUAUGGGGAGAGAUUAUGAUAGUAUGGCAUGGUCGCACAUGGCGUAGGUUAUCCGGCGUGUUGACAGGCCCCAUACGUGGCGUUGGUUGUACCGGCGUAUGGGGAGAUUAUGUGAGAUACAGAGAAAUGAAAUAAGGUAUCGCUUAAGUGUGGAAUUGGGUUUUAAGGAAGAACUACGUGUGGCUUGAUCCCUCAAGGAGGGUACGUAGGCAGCCUAAGGUUAUUAGGUGCAGCCGCAGACUAAAUAUUAGUCAUAUUUGGUAUUUGAAUUGUUUGGUAGUUGUUUGAGAAUUAUUGGAAGGCCGAAGGCCAUUUAUGAGAAUUUGCAUGAAAUUAUAUUGUGCAUGCUGCCAGUUGAAAUGCGUUUUUAUGCAGGUUGAAAUUUUGGGAAAUGUCCAAUUUAUAGGGGAGACUUUGCCGAAAUUUCGGCAGGAAGUCUCGGUUUUUAGUAAGUGGGCCCGGCAUCGGGGUGAUGUCAGGAAUUCCAAAGGGUUCGUCCCGGGUUUUGAGAAAAUUCGGGGCGGGUCCUUUCACCGGAAGUGCAGGUGCACUUCCUUGCGCCUGCACAGGUCCGCCACUGCAUGCAUGAGACAAUUUAGUACAGAAAAUUAAAGAACGAGCCCCUGGGGAAAUUUAAGGUAAAGAAGCUGCUCAUAUGGAAACGUAUUAGAAGGGCUUAACAGACCAACAAAUAUAUGCAGGCUACCAUUACCAUACUGGGCUAAAUUUAAUUCCACAACGAAGGCCAUACUAUAAAAGCAGCCAGCACUUUGAGGAAUUGUGAAAAACAUGAGGCAGAUAAUGGCAGCGAUAUUGCAUCACAUGUACUUGUUUGCUUCCUGUCACUUAGCUUCUUGCUUACUUGUGUUAAUGCCGCAGGCGAACCAAAUGGCUUGACCAUGGAACUCAUCCCCGUUGACUCGCCGGUAUCACCUCUCUAUCCCGGCAAUAUUUCAUAUGAUGAAGAAAUCCAAAGACUCAUAGACCGAUCCAGUGCCCGAGCUCCAUACCUGCAUGCUACCUUGGCAUCCCUCGGCAACAAUAAUGUGUCACAAACUAUAAUCAACCCUCUUGAUAUUCGUCCGAAACACAAGAGAGGGGCCUUGCUUAGUAACUAAAGGGUAACCAUUAUUAAGUGUGAAUAAAUUGCCCGGCACAUUGAGAUUUGCAGUUAUAAAUGAAGUCUUAGUCAUCCUCUGUUCUGUACUGGAUGUUGAAAGAGCCAGCGAGCACCACUCGCUCACAACGAUGCUACUUAAAUGGAAAAGGCAGAAAUGUGAAGCAAUUAUCAUCGAUUAAUUAUGCCUUCCUUUCUAUGACCUGGCAAGCUUAGCUUUGUACCAAUUUAUUUUCUUUUUCCCAUUUAUUUUUGCUUCAACUUUUAUGAGCGGCCAUGCCUGCUAUGCUUGUACACUUGUUUAGGUUCCUAAUUUCGUGUUCAGUUAUGGGCAUUGGGCAUACUUUAUAUGAUAUCCCCUUCAUUCUUCUCUUCUGUGGUCAAGUUAAUUUUCAAAUAUGCAUGUAUGUGUGUGUGUGUGUAUAACUACACUUUUCUUACACUUUUCGCUUAUGGGGUUGGUAUUUCUUGAUUUUCUUUGUAAUCUAGUGCAUAUGCAGUGGCCCUGGAGCAAGCUGAAAUUGCAACAGAAGGGGGCCUAUUGCAUAGAAGAAAGUGUAUAUCUUUCUGUUUCUCAUCUUUUUAGUUUGUUAUGAAAUGCAAAUUUUUUAUUAUUUAUUAUUUCUUUUGUGGAGAAAAUACUCCAAUUAGUUUAAUUACUAGAACUAUACUUGUUGGUUUUAGCAAGCAAAUUUGAGUUGAAAUUUGUUAUCGGACAUUGCAAAAGUCUUUAUAAGUACGUCUUGGCCAUUUUACUAGAUUGGUUUGAAUUGAGCCACAUGGUGGAGCACGCGUGAACUCGACCUUCUGUUGACUUGGACUGAUCGGAUUUAAAUUAAUUUUUGCCCAAACAAAACCUAACUUUAAUAAUAUAUUAUCAAUCAAAUUAUCUUCUAAGAAUUGCAAUAGUUUGGUUUGUUUAAGACAAAGAGAAGAGGAAAAUGUAGGUGACUUUCAUAAGUUGGUGGGUCUACACUACACAUAGCAAGCCAACUUUGUUUGAGCAGGAAUCUGAAUAUUACUUGCAAGUUUUAUGAUAUAACUUGAAAUUCAAAUCUGUUAAUUAGUGUAGAGGACAAAAACAAAUUCCAUUUGUCAUUGAGUAAACAUACAUGCAUUCUCCAAAUACAUUUAUUUAUUUAUAUGCAUCAAUUUAGUACAGAAAUGAAAGGACGAACCUUUUUUUAGUAAAUUUGCUUAUGUGGUAACGGCUCAUAGGGAAAUUGUUUUUAUUUUUAUUUAAUUUUUUAUAGGGAAAUUUAAGGUAAAUAAGCUGCUCAUAUAGAAAAGUAUUAUAUAUACAUAGAAGGGUUUAAUCAUAUAGACAACAAAUAUAUUACCAUACUGGGCUAAAUUUAAUUCCCCAGCUAAGGCCAUAGAUAUCACGUACGUACUAUAAAAAGCAGCAAGCACUAUGAGGAUUGCAACAACUAGCUAUGAGGCAGAUAAUGGCAGCAAUAAUAUUGCAAUGCAUCCUAUCACUCGGCUUCUUCCUUGCUUGCGUUUGCGUUAAUGCCGCAGGGAAACCAAAUGGCUUGACCAUGGAACUCAUCCAUGUGGACUCGCCGGCAUCACCUCUCUAUCCGGGCAAUAUUUCUUAUGAAGAAGAAAUCCAAAGACUCACAGACCGAUCCAUUGCCCGAGCUCAACACCUUCAUUACACCUUGGCAUCCCUCGGUAACAAUAAUGUGUCACAAACUAUAAUCAACCCUCUUGACAUUCGUCCGAAACUCGAAUUUUACCCUUACGGCUCUUACCUUGUACAAGUUGGGAUUGGGACUUUUGAUGCAACUUUCCCGGCAAGGUCAUUCAAUACAUACUACUUGUACACCGACACUGGAAGCAUCCUCACAUGGGUGCUGUGCGAGGAUUGUCUCAAGCCUGGAAACCAAUGCUUUCAAACCAAAGAACCCCCUUUCCCUAACAGCAAGUCCAAAUCUUAUGUUGCUCUCUGUUGCAAUCAAAACCCGUUUUGCAAGACAGGCCAAUGCACCGGUCCUUACUGCUCCCAGCACGAUGAGUACAUGGACGGCACCGUUGUCAAUUCUAUUCUUUCAGGCAUGAAUAUCUUAAUCUUUUUAGUAUUAAUUCUCGAAAAAUAUCGCAACUAACUAAUAAAUGACAACUGGUUGCUUUGCAUGCGCAGCUGAAAAUUUCAACUUUUUGUCAAGCAGUGGGCAGCCACUGAUGAUUCCAGGCGUAGUGUUUGGUUGUGCUUAUGACGUCAGGAAAAUCAGUUUUGGAAGACGGGAAGAGUUCAAGGUUGCAGGACUAUUGGGUUUGGGAUAUGCUUCGAUUUCCUUUCCACUGCAACAAUCCUAUCAAACUGGUAAAGUAUUCUCAAUGUGCCUAACACGCCAAAGAGAGAUCCAAACAUAUCUCAGAUUUGGUAAGGACGUCCCCACACCACCAGGUGGUCUGCGUGUCACCAAAUUAGUGUUCUUCAAAGACGUACCAUAUUACUACGUCAAUCUGUUGGCCAUAAGUGUGCAUGGACAAAAGCUUCUCAUAGACCCAAAUGUGUUUGCUGUACGAAAUCAGGGCACAAGUGGCGGCUGCUUCAUGGACAAUGGUACCUCAUUUACUUUUCUCAUCAGGCCUGCUUUUAAUGCUGUGGUUCAGUUUCUGGAGAUGUAUUUCAUGCGCUUUCCUCACCUUAUUAAGGGUGGUAGGCCUCUUGGGCCCCCUUUUGAACUUUGCUACAAAUGGAUGACGCCGCUGCCACCUCUGCCUACUUUGACAUUUCACUUUGAAAAUGCUGACCUUGUGAUCAACCCAGAGGACUUAUUCAUAAAGGUGAAUGCUGAUCAGCAGGGGAACGAUCUCUUUUGUUUGGCCUUCAUCGCCAACGAUGCUCGUACUAUUCUUGGAUCAAUGCACCAAUCCAAUUACUUAUUCAUAUAUGAUCUUAACCAGAAGCUGUUGAAGUUUGCUCCUGAGGAUUGUUCUAAGAAUUCUUGAUCACCUCAAGCUUGAUAGAUCAUGUAAUCUCUCUUUCAUUUUCAUUCCAUCCAUGUGCUCUUUUUUUGUUCAAAAUAAUUAGUUCUUUUGCAACCUUAUAGAUUUUUAAAAAUGUUUUAAUCACCUCAAGCUUGAUAUGAUUCACACUACCACCACCAUGUCAUGACUAUCAUUGCCACUCGCCACCAUGUCACCACCACCACAACUAACUUGUCAUGGCCAAUUACUCCCACCACCAUUGUCGCCACAAACAAUCAACCUAAAUCUAAUGUAUUGAUAGGCACAGUAAAAAUUGUGCGAGAAAUGAAUCACAAAACACCAUAACACAAUAUCAAUAGGCACAAUAAAGACUAAUAUACCUACUACUAAAAUUAUUUACUUAUAGUUUCAAGUAUGGAAAUUGACAUUAAGUAUCACAAAAAAUGAUAGGUAAAUUAUUAUCCAUAAAAAGAGAUAAGUUAUUAUUCAUAAAAGAUAAUAGGUAUAUUAUUAUCCAUAAAAUAAUAGGUACAAUAGAAAAUUAAUAGGUAUAUUAUCAUUCAUGAAAGAGAAACAAAUAGAUAUGUUGAUUUAGAAAAGAAAAAAAAUCAUGAAAUAGAUAAAUUAUUAUUCAAAAAAUUUAAAAAUCAAGUAACCAAUAAAUCAAAUGUUAAAAUAAAGAUUAGUUGUGUUAAAAUAUUAGGAGAUAACACAUAGAAAUCAUAGGUAAAAACAUGAAUUUUUUCUAUUUUAAUGCCAAAAAAAGAAGAUAAAAACUUACUGACAAAUCAACUUUUGUUGUAAAUGCAUGAGUUGGUGGAUGACCACCAUACCUCUUAAUAUUCCUGUUUGGGCCCAAAUUCGGCACGCCCAAGACCAGAAGGCAGGCCCAUUAUAAAAUUGCCUGCCCAGCCCAGAGAUUUGAGAAAAAAAUAAAAUCCAAACAGUUUGGGCUUCACACCAAAAACGUUGGAAAUAAAGCCUCAGCCCAAAGAAAGCCCAGAUGUGGAAACUUUCGAAGACACACCCACGUGAUUGCCUCAGCUUUGGAAAAGUCAGCAAUAUCAACUAAAAUUUAAAAAUGUGAGAGGGACGUCUCUGAAACACUGCUAAUUGAAGAUCAAAAACCCAUCUGUGUUCAAGAUUUUGCUCCAAAUCAAUACACCAUCUCCCAAGAAAUUCACGGAUCACGCUUUCUAAAUUAGAACGGGAAACAGGGAACCACUCAGAAAAUACAAAAGAAAAAGAGCCAAAACCGCCAUAAAAAGCCCACACAGACGGUGGCGUUGGUUGAAUUAGAAAGCUGCCACCCAGAAAAUCAGGGAAGGGACUGUUUUUAGGAGGUGACUGCUCAGAACCUAUCUAAAAAACCCUUCUUACUUUACAUUAUAAGAGAUCUUUUUGCCGCCCAUUGUUUAAAAGAUUAAAAAUGACCUCCUUAGGAGGAUCUCUUAUAAAAGCGAAAGAAGGCAAAGAAACAGGACACUCAAUUCAUCAAUCAAUAAAAAAAAAAACAAAUAAGAAAAAGUUCACUUGGAUCCCAAGAGAAAAAAACAGCUUUAGAUCAGAAUCCCAAAGUUCAGACUUAGAAAAUAAGUCUUCUGAAAACGAGAUCCUUCUCGUUACAAAUUUGGUUCAGCAAAGCCAAGACAAACAUAGUUUGAGUUUUUACCAAUAUGAAAACCUCAACAAAUUUUACAGCAUAGUUCCAGCUUGCUAAAUCCUCGAGAAUAGCCACUUCUGUCCCUUCAAACUGAAGAAUUCCUGCAGUUCUGCCCGCUCAAAAGUCUCCUAAGGCUUGAAGUAGAUUGAAGCUCUGCCAAAAUUGAACUUUGGUAUCGAUUUACAGCUGAAGCCAAGCAGCCAAAGUUGUUAACAGCACAGUCCAGCACAGACAUACCCAAUCCAGCCCGGAUCAGAAGUUUCUACCUAGGCAGAAAUGGGAUUCCAGCCAUCUUCUUGUCUUUCUAGGGUUGAUUUCUCCCUUCUUAAUUUUGUAAAAGGCAGUUCUGCCUGAAACAGUAUUUUAUUAUUAUCUAUUCUGGUCAGAACAACCAUUUGAUACUGAGAUAGAUUAUGAAAGUCCUCACCAGUCUGAGGCAAGAAAAGAACUUACUUGGGAGAUAUUCCUCACCCAAAUUCACAAUCCUUUGUUUUAGAAGUCAGUAACUUGAGGCGCAAGUUAUCCAAUCUAAAAAUAAGUCUGCUAGAAUUUACUUUGCUAACAGUGGCACGCUCGCACACCAAAGAAAGCUGACUUGUCGACCAACAAGUGGUCUCCAAGCCAGUGGGGAACUUCGCCCUUCCACCUCAGGAGUAAAACACGAAAACGGGUGAACAAUUCCACCGUUGGAUUUUAUGUAACCUAUACACUAAGUAUUUGUAAUUAGUACUUGUAACCUAUAGGUAUAUUGUAAAUGAUGGUAUUCAAUCUUCUAUCUUGUAAGCCUAUAAAUAUGUGGUUCUACCAAAGAUUAAGGAAGGAAUAAACAUGGUGAAGCUUUAUCUUUAGCAUAUCACUUCUCUCUACAUUUUCUCCCUCUAGUUUUAUAACACGUUAUCAGCACGACAUUACUCUUGGUAUGUUUUCUUUCUCUGAAUUUUUUUUCUUCUUAUAUGAGCUAGAGUCAUCACAUGAUAUAGAGUUUCUUUGUACUCACCAUCAGACUUCAUCAUGCUUGUUUAAAAAAAAAAUUCUUAUUCUUAUUACACAUGAAUAUAAUGCCAUGUUUUUGUUUUUAUUUGUUUGUUUAUUUAAUUUUAAGUAUGAUCUUAAUUAUUAUGAUGAGUUUGAAUUAUACAAAAGAUUAUGGGCCCGAAGUUCCGUGAUCCUCAUCAUAUAACUAGAUUAGGAUAUAGAGUCCUUUUGAUUGAAUCAGAACCUGAAGUUCUUUGAUUCCAAAUAAUUGAGGGCGUGAAGUUCCGCGAAUUUAAAGAGCACAUAAGGACAUAAAACUCCUCGAUUUUGUAUUAAUCAAAAUCAGAAUUCCAUGAGGCCUACAUAUGUCAAGAACUUGAACUAGAAGUUUCGAGUGCAUAUACAUCGAUUUGAGUAUGAAGUUCAAAGCACAACUAUUAAUUCAAUUUAUUUAGAUCUACGUAUUCGUACCUGAAGUUUCGAAUAUAUAUUGAUAUGAACCUGAAGUUCAUAGUUUUUCAUGGAUCUUAAUACUAUAUAUGAACUUGAAGUCCAUUACUUAUUUGUGCCUAUAUGAACCUGAAUUGGUUGGAAAUCCAAUUCUUAAACUUGUAGUUUUAUCUACAUAUUGAAUCCACAUUAAUAUUGGAUUAUCUUGGAAUUUCAUAAUCUUUAAUUGAUUUAUUUUAUUCCUUGUUUAUACCACUUUACUUAUUUUAUUAUAUUUUAUUUUAUUUAUGUUAGGUUAUUAAUUAAUUUCGUUUUACAAUGGUAAUGUUUUGUAUUACCGCCCCAAUAUUGAUAGUCAGAGGCGUCUAUUAGAGAAACUUCCUACUUUCUUUUGUGGGUAGGAAGUUUAUGAUGUUAUGAACCAAAAGUUCUUGAGGCCCCAAUAUUACACAACUAUUAUAGUUGAAGAUUAUGAUGUCAUGAACUAGAAGUUCAUUGACCGAAUAACUUUUAUGUUGUGACAUGACUAUCUUGGCAAUCCAUGUCCCACAAUGAUGCAUAAGAUUUUUAUAAAUUUUGUAAGGACAUCGUUUAAAGACUCAAAUUAUUGUCUUGUCCAACAAUAUCAUUACAAAGAACGCUCACAAAUAAAAGCUGUCAUAAGAUCAUCUCAGUCAAAAAUUGACUUUGAGCCAUCUUUCCUGAAAUAAUUCAAGGGGAUAUUUGUGAGCCUAUACAACAUCUAAUUAUGGAUCACUUCACCAGUUUUACUGAAUGUGCCUACUAAAAUGGUCACAUAUUUGACAACGACUGUGAGUUUAUUUUCCUACAUUUUGAGACAAUUUUCCCGCCGUUAGGGGGAGAAAUGACAAUUCCUGAAGAACGUCGCGAAAUAGUGUUGAAUCAAUCCGCUUUUGUCUCAUCAAGAUAAUGCAUAUAUAAGUUGUACAUAUGCUAACAUGGAUUGAUAUUCUCGUAUUACAAUCCAUUAACAUGGUGACUAUAUAUAUAAUGCGCUGCCUGAAGCAUGUCAGAAAUAUAGGUUCUAAAGACUUAACUCCUCAGAAAUGGAGAUUAUUUGAAAAAUUCAAGCCCUAUAAAAAAUAACGCUCUAUAGGAGGUUAUGAUCCACAUAUUCUAAAUAAUUCAUUGUAAAAGAGAUGUUUGUCCCAUAAGUGACAACAUAAGCCCCUGAAGAGGCAUUGGUACCCCAAAGCAAUGAGAUGAUUAUAAAUUAUGCAUGUGCAUGCACAUAAGAAUUGUGGGAUCACAAAUUGAUGAUACAUUUGGUUUAUUAGUAGCUACUACAAUCAUCAAGGGCUAUGAUUAUAUUAAAUCACAUUUCAUGAAUGUCGACAAGUUAAGUGAUUGGCCAAAAAUGGAAAUAGGCAAUUUCAUUUAUCACUAAAUAAGAAGAGUUGGAUAUUGAACCUAUAACUCAAACACCAAAUUACAAAUGUUCAGUAUGAAGGUUACGAAUUGGUGUUUAUGAAGUGAAAUAAGAUCACUAAUAUGACAUAAGGUUUUCUGGGAGAGACAUGUGAUUUUAGUCUCCAAUCUCAUCGUAAAUGCAUCCACAUUUCUAUAAGUGCGGUUGUUACUUUAACGCAAAACUUAUAGUAUGUGUUAAAUGCAUAUUUAUUAAGACUAUAUGGUACAUGGAAAUCCUCAAAGCUCAUGAAAUAUUUGAGAUAUAUCGGAUGAAGCAACCUCUUGAAGGAUAUAAAGUACCACAAUAUUCUUAAUUAAGAGUUAACACUAAGAGUUUGAGUAUUUUGAAUUCAAAUUUGAUAUUGUUGUAACAUAUUCUAACUACUAAAUUAGUUGUUGAUACUCCUAAAGAUUUCAAUCAUUUGAAAAGUGAAAAGCAGGUUGAAUAGUGUGAUAGAUGAUCAUGUAUGAAGACAAUGUUGCUUGUAUUGCUCAAAUCAGAGAAGGAGAGAUAUUAAUCAGGGGGAGAUAUCAAUCAGGGGGAGCAUCCCAAUUCUACUACAUUCAAGGCAGAUGUGCGUUGUACUCUUUUUCCCUUCGACUAGGUUUUUGUCCCACUGGGUUUUUCCUAGCAAGGUUUUAACGAGGCAAUAUAAGCUCAUCCAACACCAUAUCAAUGAUUCAGAAGAAAGUUUCAUUCUUUUUCCCUUCGCUUUGGUUUUGUCCCACUGGGUUUUCCAAGCAAGGUUUUUAAUGAGGAAACAAUGUUAUUGUAUGGUGGACAUCCAAGGGGGAGUGUUGUAAAUGCAUGAGUUGGUGGAUGACCACCAUACCUCUUAAUAUUCCACCGUUGGAUUUUAUGUAACCUAUGCACUAAGUAUUUGUAAUUAGUACUUGUAACCUAUAGGUAUAUUGUAAAUGAUGGUAUUCAAUCUUCUAUCUUGUAAGCCUAUAAAUAGGUGGUUCUACCAAAGAUUAAGGAAGGAAUAAACAUGGUGAAGCUUUAUCUUUAGCAUAUCACUUUUCUCUACAUGUUCUCCCUCUAGUUUUAUAACAACUUUAUGCUAAUCACCAUUUGAAAUUUAAAAAUUUAAUGAAAUGGAUAGACACGUAUGGCAAUUGAAUUGUAUAUAUAAACAAAAUAUGCUGAAAAUAAACUCAACACAAUAAAUGGAGACAACUCUCCUUAAAUAUCACAUGAACGGUUUGAUUAUUGUGUCUUGUGUCACAUUUACAGAGAGACGAAUGGGGUGGCUAACUGUCUCGCCAAAUGGAGUUACAACAUGGACUUGAGUCUAUAUACUUUUGAUCAUGUGCCUACUUGGGUGGGAUCCUUUCUAAUGGAUGAUUUGUUAAGGGUGCCCAGUUCUCCAAUUCAAUAUAGUUUCAAAACAAUCCCGCCAUGAUCCAUAUGUGCAGGCUGCAAUAUAUUGAUAUACUCUUUCCAAUUAAUUACAACACUCAUUCUAUCAAUAAGUCAAUUAGUGAGUAAUACUAUGACAUUCACGCAGACAGAAGAAAAAAAAAGGGGGGGGACCAAAUUCAGAGUCCAGCAAGAUGAAAAUGAAAACCCACUUCUUGUGAGCAUCGACAGGAAGAACCAUCGCGCCUGCACCCGAGGAUUGUAGUUGUGUUGUGAAUACUUUCCCUCAUCAUUGUCAUUGCACAUGCAUGCAUGAGACAAUUUAGUACAGAAAAUUAAAGAACGAGCCCCUGGGGAAAUUGAAGGUAAAGAAGCUGCUCAUAUGGAAAAGUAUUAGAAGAGCUUAACAGACCAACAAAUAUAUGCAGGCUACCAUUACCAUACUGGGCUAAAUUUAAUUCCCCAACGAAGGCCAUACUAUAAAAGCAGCAAGCACUUUGAGGAAUUGUGAAAAACAUGAGGCAGAUAAUGGCAGCGAUAUUGCAUCACAUGUACUUUUUUGCUUCCUAUCACUUAGCUUCUUGCUUGCUUGUGUUAAUGCCGCAGGCAAACCAAAUGGCUUGACCAUGGAACUCAUCCCCGUUGACUCGCCGGUAUCACCUCUCUAUCCCGGCAAUAUUUCUUAUGAAGAAGAAAUCCAAAGACUCAUAGAUCGAUCCAAUGCCCGAGCUCAAUACCUGCAUGCUACCCUGGCAUCCCUCGGCAACAAUAAUGUGUAACAAACUAUAAUCAACCCCCUUGAUAUUGUCCGAAUCUCGAAUUUUACCCUCUCGGCAAUUACCUUGUACAAGUUGGCAUCGGGGCAUUUGAUGCAACUUUCCCUGCAAGGCCGUUCAAAACAUACUAUUUGUACGUCGAUACUGGAAGCAGCCUCUUAUGGGUGCUGUGUGAGGACUGUAAAAAGCCUGGAAACCAAUGCUUUCAAACCAGGGAACCCCCUUUCCCUAACAGCCAGUCCAAAUCUUAUAUCCCUCUCUGUUGCAAUCAGCACCCCUUUUGCAAGCCAAACGUUUGCGUCGGUGCUUACUGCUCCCAGCACGUUGAGUACAUGGGUGGCCCUGCUGUCCAUUCCAUUCUUUCAGGCAUGAUCAUUUAUUCAAAAAAACAUUCCUAUAUAUAUAUAUAUAUUAGUAUAUUAGAUUUAUUAAGGGCACCAAUCACUGCUCCAAUUAUUGCAACUAAUGUGACACAUAACAUGACAGUCGCUCAUCGAUGAAAAUUCGAUAUUGAUAUAACUUGUGAUUUGGUUGCAGUUGAAAAUUUCAACUUGUUGUCAAGCGGUGGGCAGCUGCAGCCGGUUCCAGGCGUAGUGUUUGGUUGUGCUUAUGACACCAGGAGAAUGACUUUUGGUAGGCAGGAAGACUUCAAGAUUGCAGGACUAUUGGUUUGGGAUAUGGUCCCAGUUCCCUUCCACUGCAACAAAACUAUCUUAGUGGUGGAGUAUUCUCACACUGCCUAACACGCCGAAGUGAUGUUCAAACAUUUCUCAGAUUUGGUACAGACAUCCCCACACCACCAGGCUUUCUGCGUGUCAAGAGAUUUGUGCUUUUCAAAGAAGUACCAUUCUACUACGAGAAUCUGUUGGGCAUAAGUGUACAUGGACAGAAGCUUCUCAUAGAUCCGUUGGUGUUUGCUAUACGAAAUCAGGGCACAGCAGGAGGUUGUAUCAUGGACAAUGGUGCCUCAUUUACUUUUCUCAUCACGCCUGCUUUUGAGGCUCUGGUUCAGUUUCUGGAGAUGUAUUUUAUGCGCUAUCCUCGCUUAGCUAGGGCUCCUGGUCCUCGUGCACCCUCGUUUGAACUUUGCUAUAAAUGGACGAUGCCGCCGGCGGUUGAGGUGCAGCUGCCAACAUUGACAUUUCACUUUGAAAAUGCUGACCUUGGGGUACAGCCAUCGGAGGCAUUCAUAACGGCGAAGGUUGAUUCGCAGGGAAAUGAGGCUGUGUUUGGCGUUCUUGCGAGACGAUGAGCGUACUCUCUUGGGAUCAUUCCAGCAAUCGAAUUACAGAUUCGUAUAUGACCUUAACAGGUAGCAGUUGAAGUUUGUUCCUGAGGAUUGUGCUAAUAAUUCUUAAUCAGAUCAAGCUUGAUAGAUCAUGUCUCUCUUUCUAUCCAUCCACAUGUUCUUUUUGGUUGAAAAUAAUUAGUUCUCUUCAAUGGCUUUGCAACUUUUUAGAUUUCUUUCAUGAUUUAAUCACCUAGUAUAUUUUUCUUUCUUUUGUCCGAGCUGGAUCCUCUCAUUUUGUAGAAGAUGUUCAAGAUUUUCAGAAUUUACGCAUCUCAGGGCAAAGAUAUAUCCAAGCCAUUUUGCAAUUCAAUGAUUUUCAGAUGACUAUAUGCAGCAUAAAGACUGCAAUUCAAUGAUUUCCCAUGUUUUUUCUACUUUCAUCUUCUAUGAAUGAGCAUAUCUGAUAAGCCCAAAUGUAACUUAAAACACACGUACGCAUGCACGCACAAAAAAAAUACGAAUACUUGAAGAAAAGUAUGGAUAUUUAAACAUGAAAUUCCAUCCAUGGCCCAUAAAAUUAAACACAUGUAUAAAGACCACAGUAACCUAACUGAGUUCCUGUCAUAACUAACUUAACACAACAGAAAAAGAGGUUAAGUUGAACAUGAUGAGAUGCUUUGUACAUCAGAGUUAUCCAAAUACAAGAUUUUACAUUUACUUUUUCUUUCAGAAACCAGCAACCAAAUGAGCCAAGCUAUAAUUUCAAAAGCUUCUGAAUACAAGAUUAAUAAUAAAUAAUUCCCUAGCAAAGCAAAAAUGUCAUAUUUUCUCAGGACCGCAUACCGAUGUUUCAAUGGCUCCUAGCAAAGCAAAAUGUCGCAAAUUCUGUCUUGAGCUAUUCCUCAUCUGAUUGUCAAAGCUGUUGAAUACUUAUGCCAUUAUACAAAAUUAAAAGCGGAUGCCAAGGAAAAUAUAUAAGAACAGGAAAGUGUGUUCAUAGCCCUUGCUCCCAUUCACUUCUACCCGGAAGAAGAAGAAGAUGUGUGAAUAGGAAGACAUCAAAGUGUGCUGUAACUGUCAUAUUUCCUUACCAUUCUCCUCAGUGAUCCAUCUUCGCAAAACGUCCUUUAAUUCUUGUCCUACUUUCUGCCCGAACCUUCCGCGAUUCGUACCUGAUGUGCUUUUCAUACCUGGUCAUUGUUUCCAAGCAAACAUAUGUCACAUACCAAAAUCCAAAGAUGCUGACAUGAUAACAUUCAUGACAGGCCAAGCAGAAAAGGAGGUGCACAAAUAAGUUAGGCUGAUAAAUACACCACAACCGCCACUUGAUGCAAAUAAUAUCAGAUUAGACUCACAAGUGAUAAUGAUAAUAAAGAAUUUAUAAACUUCCCUCCAAUUCUGAACUUCUCCAUCAAUCACUAACAACCUCAACAAGAUUUCAAGUAUAAAAGAAAGACCUCAGUUACUAAUAUAAAUUUUGAAAUUAUAAACAUAUAAAUUUCAGAAUCUCAUUGGCAUGAAACGAACUUUGCAAUCCUAUCAAGUCAAAAAUUUUAAACUUAGAAGAGAUACUUGUGGCAAAUGGGGGUGUAAUACCUUCUUGUUUUCUUCUUCUCCUUGUACCGCGAGAGAGCAGUCUCUCUGUUUUGGCUGCUUAACUCAUGUGCAGCAACUUUGGGAAAAGCUGAGGAGGCUUCAGAAUUCAUUUGCCCUCCAUGCCCAUGACCAUCAUUAGCAUGACUUGCACUGCCAUCAUUAUAUGAAUGUUUAUCAGGAACCACACAACAUUCCUGAAGGUAGCUCCUUAUAAAUGUUUUAGGAGAAGAUUCUCGCUUUUCGGCUGCGCCACAAUCGUUAUACUGAAAAUCAUGUGCCUGCAUGAAAGAAACACACUUGAUCAUUUUUCAAAUUCAAUCUGCAGGCACUAACAUUGACAUUAAGAGAAGCAUACCUCAUAAGCAGGAAAUACAGUUGGCUCUGCAUCAUGCUCAAAACCUGUAAACAAACUUCCUCGUUGCAUGUUUUGUUCAGAAGCUAGGGACUUAAGGGGUUUAACAUCCACAUUUUCGCUAAACAAGUUGGGUUCUGACUUGACAAGCACACGAAGCUGACGAAAUAUUUCUUCCUUGUGUCGACCACAAGCAGCAUUGCGAUUCUGAUUCAACAACAAUAUCCCGAACCAAGUCAAAUUGCAAUAAAUAAUAGACGAUUUCAACAGUAUACACAAGCGCAAAGAAACCCUUCUUCCAAAUUUUUAAAUCAUAUUCUUAAUGAAGCAAAGGGAGUGAGAAACAACAGACAAUUUGAGAACAAAAGGAUUCUUUAUUGUUUUUUUAUUUCUUUGAGCAGAAACUGAAUUUUUACCAGGAACCUUGGAGGAAAAACAAAAAAGAAAUCCAGAAAUAUUACUUGAAAGAAAGCACUUCUUUUAGUAGACGAGCAAAGCAUCAAGACUAACACCAUAUUGAACAGAGGAAAAGAGCAAUAUAGAACAUUUGCUUCUUUUUACUUUUUAAUGAAAACAUAAGACCUUCACUAAUAAAAAUUGUUAGAAAAAUUAAAGUCAUUUCCUUUAUAUCUUAAAGAAACAAAAACAGUUGCGAAUGAAAAAACAAUUAUAAGAAAGUUAUAAAAAUAAAAUAAAAACAUACAUACCUUAGGCAGAGGAGGAACCCCCAUAGCCUGAAAUUUGUAAGCCGGAUUGCUAACAAUCAAAUCGUCAAGACUAACAACAGAGGGAGUGUCCCAAACCAAAAAAUCGGAAAACCCAUCAUCCAAAUCGAAAGACCCAUCAACCCCACAACCCAAAAACCCAUCACCUCCUCCUCCACCACCACCGCUCUCAUCACUCAAAAGCAGAGCUUUUUUAUCCAUAUUCUCAAACCCAACAACUGUAAGCAACUCAUUCAAACAAGGGCACCCACUGAACCCUUCCAGAGGCCUCCUGUCGUGCACCGAGGACGACGAAAGGUUGUGGCUUUCCCAGUCACAGUUCUGGCACAGAACAGAGCUCUCGGUUGUGCAGAAGAUGGAGGCAGGGGAACCGUCACAGGCGUCACAGAGCAGUGACCGAGUGUGCUUGGAGAAAAGCUGAUUGGCUGAGUGGACCUCACGGUCGCACAAGAAGCAGAGCUUGGCAGAGUCGGCUCUGCAGUAUAGCAGAGCCAUUGAGCUUCCACAAUAGUCACAGAGACGCUUUUGGUGCUCUCGUUCUGGUUGUGGCGCCUCAGCUUCUUCAUUUCUUGAAGAACCAUUCAUUUCUUGCUCUGUGUGUUUCUGUGGCUUCUGGGUUUGCAAAUAUCUGUAUGAAUGAAUGAAUCUCUCUUCUUCUUUUUCUGUUCUUAUAUGUAUUUAUCUGUUUUCUUAUUUUCUUCUAAAUAUCAGAGAUAUUGGUGUGGCUUUGAAACAGGGCUGGAAGAAUUGAAUAUGAGAAAGAGGAAGAUCUUAUCAUUACUUGAUGAACACGAACAAUCUUAAAGACGGUUUGUUGAUUUUUGUCUGCUUUCCACAAAGAUAGGAAAGUGAUGUUUUACCUUUGGUUAACACUCGCAGAGACUUUGCAGUUUUUGCUCUGAAAAAGGUUGAAUUUGGAACUUGCUAGUUGCUAGCAGAAGGGCAAGGGCCAAGGCAGAUGAAAGUGAAAUUUUGGCGGUGACGUCUCCUCUAUAGCAUUUUUGUGUGGACUGCGAUUAAAAGAGAAAAUAAUAAAAGCUCAACAAUAUUCACGUUCCCUUCGAACUUCAAAGUUGCUAAGCUAUGGUGGCUGACCUUUCCAUGUCCAUGGUCUACAAUUACUUUAAAAGUUCGGAAAAAGUUCCAAAAGAACUAAUAAAAAAAUUAAACAAAUCAUAAAAUAAUGAGUAAUCUCUAUUCUUCUUAAUAGAAACUAUCCAACGAGAAAUUAUAAAAUAUUACAAUAAUAUGAUCACUUGAUAUUCUAUAAUCACCCAUAUUCAACAAAGUCCUUUAUGUUGUUUAAAAACAAUAGGAAAAUAAAGCCCCUUCUUUUGAGAAGUUAUCUGGUAUAGCUCUCCCAAACUACAAUUUACAUCUUAAUUUAUUUAAAUUAAAUAAAAACCUUUUUGUUAAGGCUCUCAAACUAAAGAGAGUUACAAAUUUAGGUGAGGCAUUGAUGAUGUCAUUAAUCCAAUGUACGACGUCAUUAAUCUCUAGAUGGUUCUUGAUUUUUGCUAACAAAAUGAUGAUGUGUUGUUACAAGAAGUCUCAUGAAUGGGAUGGGAUGGGCCCCUCUUCCUCAUUAACUUGAUGAAGAGCCCUCGUUUGUCUGUCAAAAAAAGGGUCAACAUAUCAUAAAGUUUCUGGCACAUCCAUAAUCUAGGCCCUCCAUAAGUUUGGUCCAGAUUCAUUAUAUGAUAGGGGAACCAAAUUGUAAAUGAAAAUUAAUGUGAGGGAGGAGAGAGAUCAAUUUUCCUAGCUUGCAUUUCAAGUUCUCAACCCCAAAUCUGGGUCAGCAGCAGUUAGCUUAACACAAAAGUGAUUUUUUUUUCUUCAAUUGGUUUCUUUCUGUGAGGCAGCCCUACCACCUGUCCAGUCCGGUUUUGUCGACACUACUUGAUGCCAUAAACCAAUAGUUGACAUGACAGGGCAGACAGCAAUUUUAAGUUUUAACACAGAGAGCCCGGCAGAAACCAGUUACCUUUUUAUAACUAAGAAGACAUGCAGCUGUGUUUUGCCAUGACAAAGCUGCUACCUCCUCAUUAAGUUCACUCAGCAGAAAGAGAAUUCACGAGGCGAGCAUGACAAACCGCCCAACUUAUCACAAGAAUACUUGGCCUGCACCAUUUCUUGUUCUUUAAUUGUAUUGUGCCACAAAAAUACAGAUGAGAGAGGUUUUGUCCCCGUCUUUCUUUCAUGUUGUGUUUGUGAAGAAAAUAAAGGAAAAAGGGCAUAGCAAUGUGGCGCAGAGAGAGAGAGAGAGAGAGAGAGAGAUUGAUUCUGUUCUCACUUGGACAAUAAAUCAAUGAGUUGGUAUAAAUUGGAUGAACCAAUGGAAGCUAGUCAAUUACAGCAGCUGUGCAUUCUUCCAUACACUUGGCGUACAAGAAGCACACGUACAAUAGAAGAGGACUAUUCUAGUCAAACCAAGGCGAAGCAUAGACAAAAAGUCUAAUGUGAAUUGGCGCAGCCUUGCAUAUUCAAUAAAACUUGUAAUCAACAGUCAUUGAUGAUCUGCAGCUGAAAUUCUUCGGGUGUUAUAUGAAUCGCAGUUGCUGCACUUGAGCCCAAAAAUGUGAAAGGGAGCGUUGCUAGUUGUGUUGCAAUCGUUGCAAAGAAUUGAUACCUGGAGAAUAUGCAACUUGUUACAUUCAAUUUGUGCCCAAGAAUGGUAUAACAGAGCAAUAUGCUUACAAUCGGGGAAAAAAACAAUAAAAUAAAUAGAAAACCAAUAAGUAAAUUGACAGUUUUUGUAUGUUUCAAACUAGGAAGAGUAGAGUAAUAGAUAAACGCAGACAUGGGUCUAUACCAAAAAUCAUGUAACUAUCAAAUACCUUCAUCAAUGAAAGUCAAUGUGGUAGAUGCACAAGUAUUUGAUAAAGGCAUAGAUUCAUUUAGUAUACUAUGGCUAAGACAAUUGAAAAAUAGGAAGACAAAAAAAGGGAUAAAGCAACGACCUCAUAUUGGUAUUCCUCGGGCAUGGCAGUGGCUUCAAUCUAUCACCCAAAAGAAAAGAAAAGAAAACUAAUUCAGAAUCACAAUAAUAUAGGAACAAGGAUUAAAAAGGAAUGAAAAGGAGCAGAAUACACACAUCAUCAUCCAACAAUCUCCAAAUAGAAUCCAUGUCGCGUAUUGUCUUGGAGCAAAUGGGACAACGAUACCUGGAUUGGAUGACAAAUCCAAAAUAUAUUAUGACCAAACAACUUCUGUUUGACUCAUCCAAUUUAUAUAAUAAAUUAGUUAUCUCAGAGAUAAUAUGUAGUUAACUGAGUUUGUCUUUGCAUCUCAAUGAAGCAUUCUGAAUGCAUUGUGUGUCCACACUUCAUAAUUGUUGUGCCUUUAACCGAAUCAAAAAGAUACUGUCAGGAUAGUAAAAGGGUUGUUAUUGUUAGAAGACAGAAAUUUUAUUUUAUUUUAAUUUUUGAACUUUAAAUAAUCACAAACCUCAUAGCAAACAGGGCAGUGAUUCUUCAUGGAGUUUUCUACACAUAAGUGAUUAUCACGCAGUUCCACUACAUAGCAAGAGCCUGUUUUCAUGGAAGAACAUAGAAAAGGAAAAUCAGCCACCCUCCACUAUCCUGUUGCCAUUCCCAAAAAAAUAAAAUAAAAGAGGAAUAAAACCUCUGUGAAAAAUGCAAUCUGACUGAAAAUGUAUGAAUACUUCAGGGGACCCUAAAGGCCAACCCCACCUUAUGUUAUGGAUCUGUUAUCUCUAUCAUGAUUUCCCUACUUCCAAAAGGAAAGAUUUGUUCACUUUUUGGCCAAUUAUAAGAAGUGAGGGAUUUGAACCCCUCACCACCGUGGUUUCAACUUUCCAGUCACAAGCUCUAAUUCUCUGAGUUAUAGGCCCUGCCUCAUCAUCACUCUUUUCUUGGAAGUACCCUAAAAAUGGAGGAACUUUUCAUCUCUCCAAGUUAAGACAUGAAAUAACCCACUUGUAUAUAAGCAUGGUACAUCUGAAGGUGUAAAGUUGGACUAGUGUGAUUGAAAAAGAAAUAACGGGGAUUAUAAUAUUAAGCUUACAGAACCAUAGAACAAAAACAGCAAAACAAGGUAAGUGCAUACCACACUUCUGACAAUGAAAGAAGUGGUCACGACCACCGACUCUGAGAAUCAAAAUUCAACAACAGAAAUAGUUCAGUUUGAAAGAAGGGCACGAUCCGAAAAGCAGAAAUCAAUAAAAGGAAGAUAUCACCAGUUGGCUAACCUACAAAUCCCGCACUCAUUGCAAUGAAAUUGCUGCUUGCUGAUCUGCAUCAUUUACAAACAGUAUAUUUGGUAUCAGAUACUCAAAUUUAACAGCUAAACAGCUGUAUCCCGAAAUUCAGACACUUUUAUCUAAUUUAUCCAAAGAUGACUAAAGGAUUGAAACUAAUUAUCUUACAUCAUCAUCAUAGAACUUGCAAAUGUCGCAAUAAUAUUCUCCCAUGUUGACACCACAGUUAGAACAAAGCUGAGCAACCUGGGAACAGAUCACAGUGCAAGCAAAAUAAGCGCAUUUGAAAGCUUCAAUUGCACUAAAAAUAAACAAACGCAUUAUAUCAUAGGAACCGCCAAAAUCGAACCUGUUGCUCUGUAUUGCAAACGGAGCAUACAACCUAAAACAGCAAUUGCAAAACCCAAAUAAUCAACACUACGAUUAAAUAGAAUAGUGAAGGCAAGUGUGAAUGUUAGUAUGAAUAAAUAAAUAUAUUUCGGGGAAGGGGCAUACUUGCUUCACAUCCUGCCUGACAAGUUCAUGGCGAUCUUUGGGGUUGCUGAGGGAGCUCUAAGAACCACAAAACGAACAAAAUUUAUAAAUAAUAAAAAAGAAAAAAGUCCCAAUUACACAUGAAUUAUGAAUUAUAUAAUAUAUAAAAGGGCAGAAAGAGAAAGAGGGGACCGCGGCUUCGUUGUGGCAGUGGCGGCAGGGGAAAAUCUGGUCGCAGCAAGGGGCUCGAAUCUUGCAUCGUCUCCGAUAAUGGUCGCAUCUAAAUCAAUAAUUAGAAACAAAACAAAGAUUGACAAAUUACCGACGAAACAGACGAAACGUAAGAAAAGGCGGUUGCUUUAUCUUCUAUUAUUACCCGUAAUCCAAUUUUCCGAAAUCUUGUCGACUCUUGGUCGGAGGCGGAGAAGCAGGAGAAGCAGAGUCUUCCAUUGGAUGGUUUAUUGCUGGUCAAUUGUGAAUGCCUGAAUUGCUCUGGUCUGGAUGGAUGUGGUGUGGAGAUUACCAAAAGGGUGAACAGGGUCAGAGUGUAACCCAAGUUUUAUCGUCUUUUUUGUUUUGUUUUUUGGGUCUCCUUAUUUUAUUUUAUUUUAUUUAUUGACCUUUUACAAUAUUUUAUCAAAUUAAAACUGAAGUCUCCAUAUCCAUACAGGACUCUUUGGCCUUGCUUGCUAUGCUUAGGGUAAAUUUGGAAUACAUAUUGCAUGUAUACGUUAUGCAGUUCAAGUUUCAACUAUUAUUAUAGAAAAAGAAAAGGUGAAUAUAAAAUACGAAAGGGAUCAAUUGAGACUAGAAUAUUUAGUUACCAACUUUAUAUUGUUGAUAAGAAAAACUGUGGUUAAUAUGACUGGGGUUUUUAUUGUUCGAUUUAUAAGUCCAUGACGGGAGUUUUAAUGCGAUAUAUCUCAAGUUAGAAUGGGCUUAUUUGUAAAAAAAUCAAAAUAAUAAUAAUAAUAAUAAUAGGGCAUUAUGUUUAGCAUAUGUAUUAGAAACCUAGGAUUGGCCUUGUCCACAAUUGAAGUUUUCGUAUAAGGUUUGACACAAGAAGAGUAGUCCCCUGAUAUGAAAAAAUGAAGCAAUAUGACCAGUAGUUUCAAGUAACAAAGGCAACUUAACUGCAUGACUAAAGAUGUCACUCAAAAUUUUACACACAACUUGAAUCAAAUAUGAAAAAAUGAAACAAAAUAACAUGUGAAAAAUUAAAUGUGGUGGUUCUCUGCAAUCGCAGCUACAGAGACUGCUUCCCAGAUUAAAGAAGGGUGCACGAGCAUGAAUUCAUCUUUUGCAUAUCUUUCUGGUUUUUAUCUGCACAAAACCCACCCGGAACAUAUAAAUCAGGCACUCAUCAUCCAUGAACAUGCAGGAAAUUGCAUGUAUCCAUUGAUACUAAAAGAGAGAACUUUGCAGAAACAAAGAUACAGUGACUAUAAAAACAAAAAUAUAUCUGAAUCUGAUCGAUCGACCGAUCCUACUUCCGAGAUUAAAAGGCGGGUUUGAACAGAACUAACCUGUCUUCUUUUGUUUGGGUACAAGGGGCUGCACUACUGCAUGCAUGAUUACAGCCCCACCACCAGGCUGGUUAGCAGAGGUUAUUCUGGAAUCAGCAAGUGUUUUGUUAUUCUCUAAAAUUCUGCCACUAUGUAUGAGUUUAACUUCAUUUGCAGACUUGGGUGUCACUGUUUUCGCUGGGGGUGAUGGAAAAUUAAAGUUCCAUUGAUUAGACAAAAGUAUUAUAGCUAGCUUGAUCAAGAGAAGUUUUAACAAUCAAAAUAUGUUAUGUUACAUGAAAAUGCAGCUGAAAUAUGGACUACUUUCAUCUGUAUGUAUACGCCACAUGAUAUAUCAGUUCAUGAAAUUCAAUUUUCAGCAACUCACGUUCAUCAAAAUCCAAUUUGGCUGUGGCUAUAUUACCUUGAGGCCACUCAGCAAGUAGCCUUUUCUUUAGAUUUGCUACUGUCAUAGAUGGUGCAUAAGAAUGGUGUCCUAUAUCUGUCCCAUCAUAAAUCCUGAACUUAAGCUCUAUCUCCUCUCUUUGACCCAUAUCAUAUACCCCUUCCUUCUCCUUUCUUCUUCUUCUUCUUCCCCAAACUUGAAAACCCAAACAGACAACUUCUUCCACAGAAAGAAUUCAAACUCCCCCAACCCACCUGGAAAAAAGAAAGAAAAGAAGAGAGCAAAAAAAACACUCAUUUAGUUUUCAACAUUCCCUUUUCAAACAGAUUAUUCAGCACUAAUGAUGAAAUACAAAAUCCUCAUAAUCUUUAAUAAACCAAAUCAAAAAUAGAUUUUAUAAAAGCCAAGAAUGCGGCAAAUGAGGAUCGAACCUUAUGUGCAAGAAGAAGAAGCAAAAGCUGCGCAUCCGAAUCAAGGGUUUGGGAACCAAUCCAACCAAGUAAGCACCUCAUAUGACCCAAGUGCCUCAAGAACUCGAUCCUAUUGAUAUCUCUCUGCAACAAUAAUAUAAUGUCGAAUCUAUUUCAUGCCAUAUAUAUUCAUUAAAAUAGAAUCACAAGUUUCCAAAUCAAAUCAGACUAUAAAUACUGUGAUCCACGACGAUCUUUACCAAUUAAAUUUGAUAACGCAAUGUGUUCAAUAUUUUAUAAUGAAAACCAGAAAUCUCCAUUACAUAGUGAUCUGAAUACAGUAAUCAAGAUUUUCGCAUUCGAAGGAACAGUAAUUAAGAUCCGAGAAAUUCUCACAUUCUCCUCCGUAGUUAUCCUUCAUUUUCCUGGCAACCAAACAGUCGGUAAGAGAAUCGAUUCUUGAACGAAAGAAAGAGGCGUGAUAAGAAACUACGAUUUCUUCUAGCUCUGAUCGGUGGCUUUAGUUUCGUGCUCUUAAACUCCUACUGAUAUCUCGCCACGUGUAGAAUGGAGGCUUUUUGCCGACCGCCUCGAACGACUAAUAUACCUCUCUCAUGGUCUAUGGAUAGUGAUGUGUCAAGAUGUGAUUGGGUAAGAGGAGACAAUUGAGAUCGAACACGUCUAAUAUAUGAUUUCGUUACUGUUUUUAAUUUUUAAUUUUAUAAUUUUAUAAAAUCGAACUUUUUUUAUGGUAAUAGGAUUGGAUUAGCUUAAUCCAAUAUCAUUUUUUGUGUUAAAAAAUGAACGUGGAAUGUGGAAUGUGGAAUGUGGAUAGGAUAAAAGAUAGUCGCAUGCGCACCUCUAUUAUAUGCCUUUUUGUAGGACAACUUAUCCUAUCAAUGACAUGGGAUGCAUAAUCUCGCUACUCCAAUCCCUUGACCUUGAAUUCAAGAUCCGGGAGCCGCGACACAAACUCAGGACACUAGUGUCAAUGGAAUCCCGAGCCUCUACUACUUUAGUUCUUGUAUAUUUAACUGCAUUUCACAAUAUCUAGACCAUAUCUUUUUCAAUUGAACGUAAUUCAAUGCAACUAAUCCUACCUCCUAAUCCAAUGCAAUUCAAUCCUAAUCGCCAAACAUUGCACUACUCAUGUGGACUAGUGUUCAGGGUAACCUAAAAUGGACCGCACCAAUAUGCUGGUAUCCUUCAUGAUAAUUGCUUCAAACAAAUAGGUUGUUUGGAUCAACUUUACAACAGUGAACCUGCAUCUCAUGAUUUAUUAUAGUUCUUACUGUCAGUUUAGAGUAUUCAACUCAAAAUCGAUUCGGAUGAUGAUGCUCGUAAUAUUUGAUACUGAUAGGUAAGAUUUGAAUGGAUUCUGCAGGGCAUGGCUAUAAUUUUUUACUUUUUUUAUCAGGUUAAAUUUGAUAAAUUCUACAAUAUUUUGUUCUGCCUGACAAGGAGCAUCUUGUUAUGGUAUCAUAAACAUUACAGACUUCAUUUCUUCUUCAUAAUAAAACCUCGAAAACUUCAUGCCAGCUGCAUGCCCCUUUCACUACUUUAAUAUUAAUGUUUUGUUUUGAAUUUUCUGGAUUAAGAUUGAUCAGCAGAACAUAAGCCAACAAUGAAUCUUUGUUCUAGUGUGGUUCUCUGGGGGAGCUCACCACUCAAUUGAUUCCUUUUGGUUGUUUAAAAGUUAACAAACUUGGACAAGUAGAGCCAGCUAUAGAGUUUGGCAAAGUUAACCUGUACAACUUUUAUUCGUAAUUUCGCUACGCAUCCAAGUUUGCUGGAAUUUGAGUGCAAAAACAGUUCUCUCUAGAUAGAGAGUUGUAUGUGCAAGUUGUAGAAUUGACAUGUAUAUAUUUUCUGUGUGAGAAGGAUAGAUAUGUGUGUCGUCUGACUCUGAGGCUGUGAGUUGAAAAGGAAUAUGUACGGGAGAUGCCAUAUAUGCAUCUUGCUCCGCACUAAUAACAUGUGGAGCUGUAAUUUUCCAUGAUGUUCUUGAUAGGUUGACACUGACUACCAAACACAAAUCUAUCGUUGGAGGGAGAGAAUCAAGAGAAUAAAAGAAAAGGAAGCAAAGUGUUAAAAGGAAACGAAUGUAAUACCUUUCUUUAUCUCUGAUAAAGUUGAAGAAUCUAUACCUAGAAAAAUACACCUUUUUCUUCUUCUUCUUCUUCUCCUUUUUCCUUUUAAUACCAUGUAUGGAGGAAAGCAAGGUGGAUUAUGAAAGUUAGAUUUUAAAUUUUCUCUCUCUCCAACUCCAGAUUUUUACUCAGUGUCUGGGAAGUUUCUCUGUCUUGCUUCAAUUUUUCUGUUGCAGCUUUUCUCAGAAUGCUUAAAAAGGGUUUAAAAAGAAAAAAAAAGAGAUUCACAAUUUACUAUAAUGAUUUGAAAGCUAGUUAAAUCCAAAACUCUUGAUAUUUUGUGCUGUCUGUUUCCAAUCAUUUCAGAGAAUUUUCAGCAUACAGUAUACUUCAGGAUAUUCUAUACGCAAAGGUUGACCGUAGAAAACAACAGCAACAACAACAAAUAAUGAAGAAACUGGCUAUUCACUUACAUUUUGUUUCAAGUUGUGGAGAGAGAGCUCUGUUUCUUCGUUUUUUUUUUCCGCCUUUUCUUCUGCGUGGGGGAAGUACGAAGGGAGAGUAUUUUAAGAUCUCCAAAUGGUCUAGAGUCUGCAUUACUGCAAUGUUUAGAUUUCAUAGUUUAAAAUGGUAUUGUUCUCAUUUUGGACAUUAUAUAGUGGCAGUGGGGAAGCAGCAAACUACAAAAUUGCACACCAAGACAGAAAGUAUAUAAAGCUAACUUCAUUAAGAAUAGGAAAUAGAAUACAUGCUAUAGCUGAUCAAAUGUUACAGAGCACUAGACACAUCAAACACUACAUAACUUGUUCAAAAGAAACAAAAGAAAGAAGCAUUACUACAUAGACUUUGC
rnacentral:lncRNA from 1 species